rnacentral:lncRNA from 1 species
CCGAUGGGAGCAUUCUAUUGAGGCUUCCCCAAUGGUGGGUGUCCUGGAUAGUGACCGUAUGGUGGCUCAUAUGCUGGAGGCUCAUAAACUGGUGGUUUAGGUUUUGGCUUUUCUUCCUUUGGUGGUGCAUAAACUGGUGGCUUAGGUGGUUUGGGCUCAUAUAUUGGUGGGUUGUUGGGAGGUUGAUACAUUGGUGGUUUUAGUGGCUUAGGUUCGUACAUUGGAGGCUUUUUUGGAGGUUCAUACAUUGGUGGUUUGGGUUCAUCAGGUUUCUUUUUCUUUGGAGGUGUAUAAACCGGUGGCUUUGGUGGCUUAGGUUCGUACAUUGGAGGCUUUUUUGGAGGUUCAUACAUUGGUGGUUUGGGUUCAGGUUUCUCUUUCUUUGGAGGUGUAUAAACCGGUGGCUUUGGCUCGGGCUUCUCCUUCUUUGGAGGUUCAUAUACGGGUGGUUUGGGUUCAGGUUUCUCUUUCUUUGGAGGUGUAUAAACCGGUGAUUUUGGCUCAGGUUUCUCCUUCUUUGGAGGUUCAUAUACUGGUGGUUUAGGUUCAGGCUUCUCCUUCUUUGGAGGUUCAUACACUGGUGGUUUGGGUUCAGGCUUCUCUUUUUUUGGAGGUGUAUAAACCGGUGGCUUAGGUUCAUAUGGUGGUGGUUUCACCUUGGGAGGCUUGUAUACUGGAGUAGGGGGUUUCCCAUAAUUUGGUGACUCGUAGGUACCAAAAGUGGGAGCGGUGAGAGUCACCACUCCAAGUAGCAAUACUAGCAAGUGUGUUGUAGACAUCAUUGAGUCUUGGCUUUCUAUGGUGCCAUGAGAAGAGUUCUUCUUAUAGUAGUUUUGGAGCGCUGUUGUUAGCGCAUGUGUCAAAAAUUUUUAUUGUUUAUGUACCUUUGUAAAUAGUCAGCUAGAUGUUAUCAAAUCUUUUAAAUUAUUCAUGAAUGUAAUAGGGCCCAUGUAGGUACAAGUUAGUUGAAAUUUUGGACUAUGGAUACGCAAGACUGAGUCAUGAUUGAAGAAAAUUAAAAAAUAUAUCAUAGGUCCCUAUAUUUUUCAAAAUUUAGAAUUUGAUGCUUAUAUUUUUAUUUUCAAAUUUUAAGUCCUGUUUUCAUUUUUUUAUUAAAUUUGUUGAUGUGAUCUUUUAAAAUAAAAUAAAAAUAUCACUUGGUAGUAACGUAACUAUAACAGGCCAAUUUUGUCCAGCCCACUAUAAACUAAAAAUAAUAAAAUAAAUAAAACUAAAUGAAUAAAAGUCCAUUUACAAAUUGGGCCCGAUAUAUUACAAGCCCUGUUGACACCAUUUUUUUGUGAAAACGGGAUCGACUUGGAUUUUGAAAAUGAAAACGAAAAUGGGAGUCGCUACCAAUCCUUUUUGAUAAGGUGUGAUCGGGCCACCUUGAAAAGUGGUUGUUUUUAAUAAACAAUUUAAUUUUAUUAAAACAACGAUUUUGGUCCACGAAAUUCAGGAAAACGGGUUCGGAAGUCGGUUACCUACGAGGAAGGAUUAGCACCCUCGUAACGCCCAAAAUUGGUACCUAAUUGAUUAAUUAAUGUCUUAGUGUCGAAGAUUGAAAACUUUAAAGAGAUUUAAAAUACAAUCCUUUAUUGAAAUGUUGAAAAUUUUAGGGAAAAGAGCAUAUUUCACGUUAAUCGAGAAAGAGAAUUAUAUCCAGUAAGUUAGGACACAAUGUCUUGAAUUCCCAAUGCGCGAAUGAAUGCCAAAAAUUUACUUAUUUAAAAGAUAUUUAGCUAUUUCGGAUUUUAAAAAGGGAUCAUGCUCAGUAAGUUAGGACGCGAUCUUUUCUUCAUUCCUGAGAUCGUUUAAAACUUGAGAAAAAAAAAGGGAUCAUGCCCAAUAAGUUAGGACACGAUUUCUUCUUAAUUCCCGAGAUCGUUUAUAACUUGAGUUUGAAAAGAUCCAUGUAUUUAGAUUUAUUGUGAAAAUUGAAACCCCGUAAGUUAGGGUAUGACCUUCUCGAAUCUAAACACGAGAUUUUGCUUAUUCAAAAAUCAUAAUUUAUGCAUUGAAUAAAAUUAAUCUAACACGAAAUGGUAGAAAUGAAACUAGGUGUUAAUAUGUGUAACAAAACGAUAUUGAAUGCAAUGGUGUAAAAAUAAUACGAGCAAUAGCAACAAAAUAAGAUAAAUAGAAAGACAAAUCAAUAACAUACAAAAUAACAAGUACAUAAGUAAAUAAAAUUAAAACAUUCUUUCAAAAUAAUAAUGGAAACAUAAAUAAAUAAAGAAAAUGAAUAAAAUUAUAAAAAUGUAAAAAGAUAUAUAUGUAUGUAUAUAUAUGUAUAUAAAAAUUAUAAAAUGUAAAAAAUAUAUAUAAGUAUGUAUAUAUAUAUUCAUGAAAAUAAAUAAAUAAAUAAAUGUAUAUAGAUAUAUAUAGAUCUAUAGAUAUGUAUAUAAAUUAAAAUAUAUAUAUACGAGUAUGUAUGUAUAUAUAAAUAAGUUGUAAAAAAUAUAUACGUGUACAUUGAUAUAUAUUAUGAAAAUGUAUGUAUGUAAAUAUAUAACUAAAUUUGAAAUUAAAAGAGGUAUGAAUGAGUAAAUAAUUAUAAUAAUACUAAGGUAAGUAAUAAUAAUAAAUAUAAUAAUAAAUUAAUUAGUUUAAUAAUAAUAAUAAAAUAACAAUAACGGGACUAAAUUGAAAAUAAAAUAAAAUUUGAGGGGAGAAAUUGGAAAUAAAAUAAGGCAAAGGAUUAAAUUUGUGACGAGCGCGAAAUGAAGGGGACCAAAAAGGAAAUUUAUCCAGGCCUCGAAAACGGGCAGCUUCGAUGGGGACCAAAUUGAAAGCGCAAUAAAUUAUAGGGCUAAAUUAAAAAAAUAGAAAAUACUUAAUUAAAAAAACAUUAAAAAAGCAGAAGGCUAAAGUUGCAAUUAACCGGCCAGCCUCCAACGAGGGCUCCGACCAUCGGUCGCCGGUCACCGGCGCUUAUGCCGCCGUACGCGGCGGCGAGGAGCCAAAAAAAUUCCUUUUUCUUCUGACGCGCUCCCUCGGCUUCCCGAGCACUCCGGCACCGAUGAACAGAGGUAAAAACUCCUCCCUUUUUUCUUUUAUUUCGAAAAUAAAUAAUAAUAAUAAGUGAAAAACAAGAGCAAAAAAUAAAAGCAAUCACCUUAAAAAAACGAUUUCUAUUUUUUUUAUUUCUCAAAAUGUUCUCUUUUUUCUCUCAAUGUUCGUAAGAAAGAAAAAAAAAACCCCUUUUACAAUGGUUGCUAUGGCUUUAUAGCCAUUUUUACAAUAUUUUUAAUCUAUUUUUGCUUGUCAUUUCUCUGCAGGCAAGUGGGUGAAGCAGGUGCGGUGGUGGCAGAGGCAGAGAGCAGGUGCGGAUGGGACGGUGGCAACUGUGCCACUUGCACUGACGUGACGGUGGCAGUGCUAGGGUUUCAGAAAAGCUGAAACCUUAGUUUGACUAACUGUUGAGUCCGAUGGAGGUUUGGGUAUUUGGGCCUUAAUUUUGGGCUGGGGACCUUGGGCUUGUUUAGGCUGCUGUAGCUGGGUUAAAUUUUUUGUAAAUUAUUUGGUUCCUUUGGUGCGGGCCCAGGCAUAAAUUGGGCCUUACAAGCCUAAAUGGCCCAAAAGAAAAAAAACCUAAAGCCCACAACAUUAAUUUUUCAGAAAACUAAAUAGAAACCCUAGCCUCUGCGUCUCACCCCACGUUAGCAUGCUCGCCGACUGAGGCCUGACGCGCCCUUGUUGCCCUUGCACCAAAAUGGCAAGGCUCAAGUCCCGUCAUCAUCGUUGACCCUCCACCGUCGCCUGCAAAAGAAAAACAAGGACAUCAAACGCAAAAACAACAAAAGCAAACAGUAAAAAAUGAAGAAGCAUAAACGAUGUUGUAAAUCAACUAUAAAAGUCACAACAACCACCAUGUAUUUUUUGGACAGAGAAAUACAAAAAAAAAAGCAUCAAGUUUCAAAAAGGUAGGAUUUUUUUUUCAAAGCCCAAAAAAAAGAUAAAAUACUUACUUAAAAUUAUCGUCGUCACCGCCGUCAUAGGUCCUUUUCCUCUGACUUAAGGAGCCUAGGAACCCUUUAGGGUUCCGUCGAAGGCCUCGUCAAAAAAGGGUGAAACCUUUCGGUUUCUUUUCCUUUGGCUGAGCGUCGGUUAGGUUUCUGGGAAUUUAAAUCCCAGAUCUGUGUUCUAUUCGAAGAGGGGGGGAUCUAAAAGGCUUUCUUUUGGGAGUUUUCAGCCAUUGGAGGUUACAGGGCGGCCCUUGGUUGGAUAUGAGAGAGAUUGGAAGGAAAAAAAAAAGGAAUAGGAAACCUUUUUUUUUUAAACGGAUGGAAAUGAGUUUUUUUUUUUAAUAUUUUUUUAACUUAUAUAGAUUGAGAUAAACGAUGUCGUUUCGAAGGAGUCUAGAAUGCCAAAAAAACGAUGCCAUUUUGGGGCCAAAUCGCCAACCCGACCUGAAUCACCCUUAGGAUCCAUUUGUUUUUUAGGGGGAUUUUUGCAACUUUAGUCCUUCCGCCUUUUGAGUUACCUUAAUUUGGACCUAAUUUCACUGUUCUUUCUUUUUAGAAAUUAGGCCAUUUUAUUUGGGUUCAUUUUCAAUUUGGUCCUCAGACCGCUGACCCUUCGGGGAAGAACGCGUGUAUUUUUUUUGGAUUAAUUUCUUCGAAGCCCUUGAAACUUUGCAUCGCGUUUUAAUUUAGUCAUUUACGUUUCAAUUUAGUCCUUAUUUUCCCUUUUUCUUUAAUUAUUUUGCGAUUUAUAAUUUAAUUUUUACUUAAAUUUCAAUUUAAUCCUUAGUUUUGUUAAUUUUGCCGUUUUAUUUACUAUGCCAUUUAUUUUAGCAUUUAGAUUUAUAUUAUUUACGUUUCCUUUUCGUUUAUACACUUUUAUUUUUAUUUUUCCUUCAUCAUUAUUAUUAUCAUUAUUUUAUUUAUUUAUAUUAUUAAUAUAACAAUAACUAUGUUGUGCUAUUACUAUUAUUAUUACAAAAUUGAUAUUCUCAUUGUUAAUGUAGUUGCAAUACUAUCAUCAUUUAUCAACACGUUUUUUUAUUUAUUAUGUAUUAUAUCACAACAUAUUCAUUAGUUUUUGUUAAAAAAAAUAUAUAUCGUUUUCAGAAAAGGGUUAUCUUCGUAUAAAAUAUUCAAAACCGAGGUAAUGUUCAUUAUUUUUGAGAUUCGAAGAAGUCAUGCUCGUAAUUUACGGAAUAUGACAUUUUCUUAGAACUGAAAUAAUCGAAUAUCCUAUUUAAAAUAACAAAAAAAUUUAAGUAACGAUCAAAACGACGAUUAUUCUGGUUUUCGAAAGCUAAAGGUGUCAUGUCCUAACUCAUGGGGCAUGAUCCUUUUUCUCGAUUAAUUCGGAAUAAAGCCUUUUCUAUUAAAUAUAAUUAGGUAAUGUCUUAAUACAAAAAGGGAUCGUGUUUUAAAUUCUCUUCAAAUUUUCAAUUUUCGACACUAAGACAUCGAGUAAUCAAUUAGGUACCAAUUUUGGGCGUCACGAGGGUGUUAAUCCUUCCUCGUGCGUAAUCGACUCCCAAACCUAUCUCUUGGAUUUUUGUAGACUGAAAAUCAUUUUAAUAAAUCAAACCUUUUAUUAAAAUUAUGAGGUGAUCCGAUCACACCUCAUAAAAAUGAUUGAUGGCGAUCCCAUUUUCUUUUGUUUUAAAAUAAAAAGUCGAUUUUAAAAAAGGUUUUGACAGUAACUAAACCUGAUCAAGGGCUGGGUAGCCCAAUAGGCUUAGUCCGACUUAAGUCGAGCUUGGACAAAUAUUUUUGCACCUCAAACCGGCUCAACCUGGUCAUAAUUCAAUUUAAAUAAGAAAAAAAUAUUUAUAUUAUUUAAAUUUAAUUAUAAAACUAUAUAAAUAUCAAUUAAAAAUAUUUUUAAAUAUUUUAUUAAUUUUUGAAUAGUGAAACAAAUUUUUUGGAUGGGCCAGCCCAAAAAUGGGUUUGGGCUUGAAUUUUUUUGGAAUCGGGCCUUGGCUUGGCCCAUGGACGGCUCAAAAUGUUACUAAAAGAUGAUGUUGUAAUGAACCCGAAUUUAACAAAAUAAUAUUAACAAUGUUAAUAGUUGAACCUGAAUUUUGAAAUCUAAAAAGUAGAGAGACUAAAGUAAAAAUACAAAAAUUAAAUUCUAAAUUUAUAAAGAGUACAAAAACUUAUGACAUAUUCUAACUUUGAAGAAAAACUUAUGGUCAUAUUUGUGUUCUUUUUUAUACAAUGCUUAGAACUAUCCAUAGUUUCUCCGAACCCAUAAAUAGGAGGAUAAUGCGCUUUAACACAUUCAAACCCACAUCCUCCUGUAUUGGCAAUAAUGUCUAUACCAAUUGAAUAAAGACUCAAUCGGUAGGAUUAAAUCAUGACUUAAAUCUUUACCUUAUGUAUACAUAUUUAUAUUUACUUCUCUUUCCAUGAGGUAGUUAUAUUUACUUUCUUUAUAAGAAGAUUGGGACAUGAACAACAGAUAAAUUGACGCAUAAAAACUAAAAUGUCGCUAAAUUGACUGUAGAAAACAUUGUCGGUAAAUUUAGUGUUUCAUCCGGCCAUUUUAUUUAAUCUCAAUUGGUAAACUUUAACUACUCAUAAAUUUUUUUAAGACAAGAAAUCAAAUUUACUUAAAAGAAAGUAAAGAGAGUUGAAUGCUCUUAUUUUUUUCUUUAAAUUACUUAGUUUUUAUUUAUUUCAAUUUAAGAAAAAAAUUAGGAAAAAAAAAGUAAUUAUUUUUUUAAGAUGCGAAAUAUCAUUUCUAUCUUUCUAUAAAUUGUUUUAGAAAUCGGAUUUGAUUUGAAAUAAAUCAGUAUAAUCAUUUGUUUUAUUAUUUUCCAUAGUUUAACCACACACAAAAUUUGGGAUAUGAUGGAUUUUUAAAGGUUCGGAAGGAUAUCGUAUUAAAAGAAGGUAAUGUAGUCUCUUUCAAUUUUGAAAUUGAGUAAAUUAGGUUUUUUUUUUUAAAUUGAAGUAAUUUAAUUCUUGUCAAUUUUGAAAGCGAACAAUUAAGGACAAUUAAUCACCGCGCUAAUUUUGUUUUCAAUUGUAAAUAAUUUUGAUUGAUAUAAUAACAAAUUUAACCACAUUUUGUCAAUUUAAUAACGAUUUAACAAAUUUAGCUAGCAACAUAUACAUAAAUGUUGAUGCUAAAUUUGUUGAAUCUUUUAAAAUUUAGAUCAAAUUAAUAAAACAUGUAAACAUUGAAAGUUAAAAUUAAUGUUAUCUCAAUUAAAAUUAUGUUGAGGAUGGUGUUUUUACAAAUAAAAUAAAAUAUGAAAACAAAACAGCCUUAAAAUAAGAUUAGCAACAUAUGGUCAAAGGUACCCCAACUUGUGAAUAAGAUAAAAACAAGUUGUUAAAAACCUUUAAAUUUUUAUGCUUUCAAUCUCACCAAAGUCAUCUUUUCUCAUUACUGUAAUCAUCAAUUUGUUAUUAUUAUUAUCAUCAUAAUUUUUAUUUAAUUUAAACUUUGAAAAAUGAUCAGAAUUGGUAGUUUUCUAUGGACCUAAUUGUGUCUGUCGGUGUAAAAAAUACAUAAACUAAUUUACGAUUUUGAAUCUCAAAUUUAAUAAUAUGUGUAUUUGUAUUUGUUUUUCUGUAAAUGUACUUGUUGAGAAGUCACAAUCGUAAUUGAUAGUUACAUUUAUAUAUUAGAAAUUGGGAUCUCAAAAUUCUAAAGUCUCCUCUUUAUUAUUAAACUAAGCUCUCAUUGGUACCACCAAAAUUUCAUUGGCAUCCUAUUGUGAUUAAUAUUUACUUGAUUUCGAGUAUAAUUUUUUUUACAAAACAAAUCGUAAAUUAAAAAUAAUAUAAAAAAUUAUAGAUAUUAUAUUUCAACACUAGUUUUUGAUUUCAUUGGUUUUUAACAAUAAUUAAUUAAAAAUUCAUAAAAUUAAUAAAAAUAUUAAAAAUUCAACGGCUAAUUUUUUAUUUACCAAUUUAAUCUUGUACAAUGGAAUGCACUAGAAAACGUGAGCUUAAAACAAGGAUCAUGAGCAGGUAAAAUUUGCUUUAGGUAUUGAAAACAGUGGAAAGCAAGUCAAAGUGGAAUGCUGGUUUCAAAGAUUUGACAUUUUUAGCUACAUAACUCCUGCAGCUGACAUCGACACCAAAUCCUAGUUUCAACCUCUAAUUAUGUAAUAAGCUGCAAAUUUUCCGCUUCUCAAACAUAUGGCGGGGCAGUGGGGACCUUUCAUUGGUAAGGUUAGGUAAACACAUGAUAGCAAUUGAAAGUUCCCGACGUAGUACUAUAUGAAAUUAAUUAAAAUGUUACAUAAAAUAUAAUAUCAUGCAGAUAAAAGAUAUUUAAAAAUAUAUAUGCUAAGAUGUCAAAAUGUAUAUAAUAAAUUAAUAUUUGAGACAUUAUGACAUAUAUUCUAAAAAUAAUGCAAUAUUUAUUUUUGAAAAAAGUCAUAAUAUUUUUUUUAUGUCUUAACUUUGUCUUUACUUGGUUGGCAAAACUAAAGGAGAAUAAAAUUAGUCAGAUAACAAUAAAAGCGAUUUUUCUUUAAGGUGAUGCAUUUUUUCCCUCCUUUUUAGUUCAUCUGAAUGACAUUGUAAUUAGCAUUUUGGAGGGAUAUUGCAUUUGGCAUCAUCUAUGGUAUUUGAAUUUGAAUUUGGUUGUUAUUGCUUGACAGGAGUAUGAUUUAAAUAUUAAUACGUUAAUUUUUCUUUUUAAAGUUAGAGAAUUGUUGAAGGAUAAUAUCUCAUAUCCAUAUCUAAAAAUGUGUCAUAUAGAGUGUCAAACAUGCAUGAAACAUGAAGGGUCAGAGUAACAUACAGCAUUGCCUUACAUUUAUUUGUGUUAUGUUAGGCCAAUAUAAUUGCCACCGUUUCUCCAUGCAUGUAGUGGAACUUAAGUAAUGUUGUGUUGGUCUGGACCUAUUUUGGAUGAACAAAAGGCAUGCACAUGCUUGAGAAUACAAGAAUGUCUAUGAUAAGUAAUCCUGCAGUUGGCAUUUGAAAUAUAUGUGUCGAAAUCAGGAUAUUGCUCAUUGAGAAACAAGAAGACAUAAAAUAAGCAUUCCAAUGACUACUGCCAUCGGCAUUCUCGCAGGUAAAAGAAAACAUUACUACAUGACAUACAAGAAAAUAGAACAUGAGUAGGAAGAAACUCUUAUUGUAUAGAUACUAAUUUAUCUAUAUAGCCAUAGUAGCUCAGUUCUUGGGAUGGCUAGCCGAUGGGAUCUCUCUAUUGAGGCUUCCCCAAUGGAGGGUGUCCUGGAUAGUGACCAUACGGUGGUUUCUUUGGAUGUUCAUAAACUGGUGGCUUGGGUCCUGGUUUCUCUUUCUUUGGUGGUACAUAAACUGGUGGUUUUGGUGGUUUAGGCUCAUAAACUGGUGGCUUCUUCGGAGGUUGAUAAACUGGUGGUUUGGGUUCUGGUUUUUCUUUCUUUGGUGGUGUAUAAACCGGUGGCUUAGGCUUAGGCUUUUCCUUCUUUGGUGGUUCAUACACUGGUGGCUUGGGUUCAGGCUUCUCUUUCUUUGGUGGGGUAUAAACUGGUGGCUUAGGCUCAGGCUUUUCCUUCUUUGGUGGUUCAUAUACUGGUGGUUUGUGUUCAGGCUUCUCUUUCUUUGGAGGUGUAUAAACUGGUGGCUUUGGUUCGGGCUUUUCCUUUUUUGGUGAUUCAUAUACUGGUGGCUUGGGUUCUGGCUUCUCUUUCUUUGGUGGUGUAUAAACUGGUGGUUUAGGUUCAGGUUUUUCCUUCUUUGGAGGUUCAUAGACAGGUGGCUUAUGUUCAUAAGGUGGGGGUUUCACCGUAGGAGGCUUAUAAACAGGAGUAGGGGGCUUCCCAUAGUUGGGAGACUCAUAGGUACCAAAAGAGGGAGUGGCUAGAGCGGCCAGUCCAAGUAGAAAUAUUAGCAAGUGUGUGGUAGACAUCAUUGAGCUGUUUGCUUUCCAUGAUGCUAUGAGAAGAGCCCUUUUUAUAAUGGUAAAGGAGCCUUAUUGACAGCCCAAGUGUUGAACAAUUUUCUUGUUUUCAUGCCUUCGGAAUAGUCAGCUAGAUGUUAGUAAAUCUUUUAAAUAAUUCAUAAAUGAAAUAGGGUCCAUUGAGGUCCCACUUAGUAGAAAUUUUGGACUACGGAUACACAAGGCUUACUACGGAUACACAAGGCUUAGUCAUGAUUAAGGAAAAGUAUAGAAAUGUUGUCGUAGGUAUCGUAGUGAAACAAAAAAAAAAAUCAAAUACAUAAAUAAAUCUAGUUAUGGUAAAAUACUUAAUUUUUGAAAUAUAUUUAAGUAUUUUUUUCUCAUACCUAAACUAUCAUUUUGAUAUCAUUUUAUCCAAAAAUUAUUCGAUAAGAAUGUGCCACCUGUUAUGUUUUUAUUGACAAUUUUUAAUUUUUUUAUUAAAUUGAGACAAUAAUGAUAAUUUAAGUGACAAAAAAAAAGAUAAAAAAUUAAAUACCAAAAAACAGAUAUAAUUUAAGGAUUAAAUGGUGAAUUAAACUUUUGCAUUAUGUAUCCAAAUUUAUAUUUACUUCUAUUUCAAUGAGGUAUUACUUUCUUUAAAAAGCUAAGAAGCUUGAGACAUGAACAAUAGAUUAAAUUGGUACAUAAAACUAAAACAUUGAUAAAUUUAGCAUUGUAGUGUUUUAUAGCGACAUUGUAUUUAUCGGGGAACCAAAGAUUAGACUGUGAUUAAAGGUGUUUCAUGGAGGGCUUUAUCCUCAUCGCUUCACUCCUCGCCUAUUGUGUUUGAUUAGAAUCGCUAGAAAGAUGUAGAGUUUCGAAUUUUCCCUUUGAAAUCGGUAUAUUUCGCUGAAAGGAAGAUUCAAGGUUUCUCUUUUAAAAAAAUAUGAAUGGCGACAAGAAUGAAUGAAAGUGACUAAGAAUUUUUUUUUAAAAUUAGCUUAGGGUAAUUGGCUAAUUGAUCCUUGUCCAUUUUAGUACUAAGAAUUUUUUUUUCAAUUUAGCUUAGGGUAAUUGGCUAAUUGAUCCUUGUCCAUUUUAGUCUCUCAACCUUUAACCACUCGAUUUUCUUUUCUUUUCUUUCAAUUUAAUCUUUAGCUCAAACAAAAGAAAAAAAACUCAAAAUUACCAAAUUACCACUAACUUAAUAAUUUAGAAUUUGAAUCUCCAAUAUAAAUUUCGCAUUAAUAGAAGUUUUCUAGGUAGUUAUAGUACUAUUAAUUCUCAAUAAACAUUACGAUAAUUUUAUCAGAAUUUCGUGAAAUUCGACACUCAAAAUUUCGAGACAUUAUAAUUUUAUAAUUAUUUAUGUCUUGGGUCUUUUUUAGGAGCACUCACCUCCGUUAUAUGUCAAUCUUGAUUAUUUAUUUUCUUUUACGAAAAUUUUCAUUUUUGGAACUAAUUGAUCCACUAUAUUUCAAACUUGCGUUUCUUUAAAUUUUUUUAAACAGAUUGAUCUACCGAUACUUUGAUUUAAAUUAAAGCAUUUCCAGCUAAUUUGUGAGACUUGAUUCCUCUUAUUAGGUUAGCAAAUACAUUUGACAGUUGAUUUGCAAUAAAAUAAAGAUUGUUGAAGAAAGCCCUUUUGAAUCAUCUUAUGAAUCAAAGACUAAAUAUGAUUCGAGCUUUGAUGAAGAUGCUCUCUUAAAGAAAGCUUUUUUUGGUAAAGCUAGGAUCAAGCGUCCCAAUGUUCCACUCUCCACUUAGUAAAGAAAUAAAAAGAUGAAGCGAGCAGGUGUGCCCACAAUGCUUGUUGAAGCUACAAAAGAAGCAAUGAAGGAAGAAGUAGCUUUUGAUUAUUAAUGAGAAUUUUACACAAAGCAUUAAUGGUUAAUAUGCUUAAUUAUGUUCUAAUUUGAGUAAGUUGGAUUGAGGGAAUUAUGCUAAGGGGGAGUUGUAAUUGGUUUGGUUGAUUAGCUUCAUGUCUUGUUUGGUUUUGUUCUAAAAAUUUUAAAAGGGGAGAUUGUUGAGCAAGUAUUUGAAGUGGCUACUAUGUGUCAAUGGAAGUGCCCACUUCCAACACCACUGUGAUAGAAUCUUAUUUGUCGUAUUUGAUGUUGGCAAAUGAUUGAAAUAAAAUCUUUGGACUAUGUUGAUUUUGUGGAAUUAUUCAAGCUUAUCCAAGAAGAUCAGUCCGUUUGGAGGAACAUGUAUUAAGGAUUGGAUUGGAUCAAAUCAAUCACACAAAAUCCCUUAGAUCAAGGAUGUUGGAUUGGGACAAAACUUGAAGGUUUAUCUUCCAACAGUCCACCUUACUUUGGUCAUUAUUAUAUUGUAUUCAGCUAUAUUAGUUGUUGUUUAGAAGGGAUUGUAAUUGAUCCUUAGUAUAUUAGCAAGUCUUGAAAACUUCUAUAUAUUUGAGAAACUUGUAUAAAUUUAUUUACUAAGUAUUAAGAGCAUUUAUCAGUUCCAAGAGUAACGUUAUUGUGAGAAUGCAUUUGAGAUAGUAAAACCUAUUGUUAUUAGUUUUACAAAUUAAAUUCUCAAGGAGGAAAUUUCGUAGUGAGAGAUUUAGUCUUUGAGUACAAAAGCAAGGACUCUAUACUGGGAGAGAUAGAACUAGGAUCACUUGUUUUAUUGAGUUCAAAGAUAGUGGAUUAAUCUUAUUGAACUAAGCUCUGCAAACAUAAGGAAACUAAUGCGUAAACAAUUUCUUGUUCCCUAUUAUUCUUCUUUUUUUGGUAAUGUCAUCAAAAGUGCCCGCUCCUAUUUGUACUCCGUUUCUUGGCAUGAUAACAAUCGGUUGAGAUCAACACUUUAUAAUUUGUCUACCUAAACAUAAUAUUAAUAAUAUCUUGUUAUUAAACAUUAAAAAAAUUUAUGUUAUUUAAAAAUCUUUAUUUUUUUAAAGUUUACAUAAUAUUACAAUCGAAGUACAAAUACAAAUCCAGAACCAAUAGAAUUGAACUAUUACAACAUAGUCAGAUACAAAGAUAUUCGAACAACUAUAAUCAAAUUAUUACAAUACAAAUAGAUUAGUAACUAAAAAAAUCCAAACAAAAACUGACUGACUUGAACUAAAAUCCACCUAUAAUACCAACAUAUAAUUAAAAUUUGAAAUUUACAUACAUGAUAAUUUCCAGCCUAAGUGUUAGUACAAAACUUCGGUGAGGAAAUCUCGAACACACGAACGGAACUUGAACAGAAAAAGAAGAAAUAGGACGAGGCUCCAAGGCGUGUAUCAAGCCACUAUCUUUAAGGUUAUAUUCACCCCUACCUAUCUUCGGUGUGCAAAUGAGUUCCAAGCAAAUUAACCUCGAGGAUACAAUGAAGCCAAUGACUAUUUACGUGUUGCACUGACAAUAAUAGUCCACUACGCACUGAGCAAUGUAUAACAAAAACUCAAUUUCUACAAAGGAUUUCUGCAGUAAUACUUUAUAGAAUAAUCUAAUAAUAUUAGAAAAUGAAGGAAGGAAAUAAAGAAUAUUUAGAAUUUUGUUUUGUAUGUUUUCCAAAUGAAAUCUCAUUCCUAUUUAUAGGAAUUUUCAUGUCUCUUCAUAGAGACAUCUUUCAUCAAUAGGUGUCUUUCUGAAUAAUAAUGUCUUUAAAAUAAAUACAUAAUUAUUCAUUUAAUAUUAUAACUAUUCAAAUAAUAUUAUUUAAAUAGUUAUAAUUCUUUUUUAAAAAAUCAAAUAAUAAAAUCUUUUGAUUAAUUACACUCAUUCAUUUAUAGUUAUUGGAACACUAUAAAUAUUUGAAAAUAUUCCAACAAUCUCCCCCCAUUUUCAAAAUAUUUUAGAUUUUGAUAUUAUUUGGAAAUCAAUUUGCAUAAAUGAAGGUAUCUUACGAUUGAACCUUCACUUAGUGAAUAUAUGUUAAAGUUAAUCGAAAUUGCAUGGUAGAGCUUUGAACCAACUAUUCCAUUUGAUUAACCGAACACAUCUCACACAAUGAUUUCAACAUCAGUCAAUGCAUAGUAUCUAAGGACACUAUUAUGGCCAUGUGUCUGUGUCCUCUUUUCAUGAGUGCUGUCAGAGCCAAGCCCUUGAGCUCCUAGAAACAGCCACACUUCCACUCACAUAGGUAGAUCUCAUCAAGAGUGUUCCCGUAAUUAUAACACUAUAACAUAUUUAUGUUAUGGGUCCAUUAAGAGUACAUUACUCAUCAUUCCCUUAUCAUUACGGGUACCUAGCAAUUUAAUCUUAGGAUGGAUUUAUUUAUAGUGCUAACAGUCACAAACUAAUUAUGUACUUUGUCUCAUUGAACUCAAGACUUGACGUUAUACCAAGCGCUGAGUCGAGUUUCCAUCAUGGGUGACUCUAAUUAAUGGGCUUGAGUCCCAUCCCUUUUGAGGUCCUUUUUACUGCAUCUCUAGCAAGACUUUUUGUCAAAGGAUCCGCCAAAUUUUCACUUGACCUCGCAUAAUUAAUAGUGAUCACUCCAUCAGAGAUUAAUUGUCAGACAUAACUAUGUCUUAAUCCAAUGUGUCUAGACUUUCCAUUAUAUACUUGGCUACAUGCCUUUGCUAGAGUAGCCUCACUAUCACAACAGAUAGAAAUAGAUGAAAUUGGCUUAGGCCAUAAAGGUACAUCAUAAAGCAAAUUUCUUAACCAUUAUGCUUCUUUAGAUGCAGCGGCUAAUACAAUAAAUUCUGCUGCCAUGGUGGAAUCAGUAAUACAUGUUUGUUUCUUGGAACCCCAAGAAAUGGCUCAUCCACCAAGAAUGAAGAUCCAUCCACUAGUAGAUGCAUGAUCUUCCAAACUUGUAAUCCAACUAGCAUCCAAAUACCCUUCUAAAACUGGAGGAUAUCCAUUAUAACACAAUCCAUAGUUAAUAUUUUUCUUUAAGUACCUAAGUACUCUAUUCAAAGCUUGCCAAUGCAAACUACUUAGAUUACUUGUGUACCUACUCAAUUUUCUAACAGCAUAUGCAAUAUCUGGUCUUUUACGAAUCAUUAUGUACAUAAGACAACCAAUUAGACUUGCAUAUUUCAAUUGAUCAAUUUUCCUACCAGCAUUAGGUACUAAUUUUAUUUGAGGAUCCAUGGGUGUAGAUGCUGGUAUACAGUUGAAAAGAUCAAACUUUUUAAGCACAUUUUCAAUGUAAUGUGAUUGUGAAAAAGCUAUAGUGCUUUCAUCUCGGGUUAUUUUUAAUCCCAAGAAUAACAUCUGCUGCACCCAUAACCUUCAUAGCAAAGUUGUUUGACAAGAAUUUCUUUGUGUUUUCUAUUUGAUCCAAAUCCGUGCCAAAAAUGAGCAUGUCAUCUACAUAUAAGCAAAUUAUGACACCUUUUUCAUUUUCAAAAUUGCUAUAUAUGCACUUAUCGGAUUCAUUUAUUUUAUAGCCAUUAGCUAAAACAACCUUGUCAAACUUUUGGUGCCAUUGUUUUGGUGCUUGUUUAAGCCCAUAUAAGAUUUAACAAGCUUACAUACCUUAUGCUCUUGUCCUGGAACAACAAAUCCUUCUGGUUGCUCCAUGUACACUUCUUCUUCCAAUUCACCAUUUAAAAAUGCAGUUUUAACAUCCAUUUGGUGAACAACCAAAUUAUAUAUAGAGGUAAGUGAUACUAAGAGUCUAAUUGUAGCAAUUCUUACUACUGGAGCAUAGGUAUCAAAGUAAUCAAUACCUGUUUUUGUGUAAAACCUUUAGCUACCAACCUUACUUUAAAUUUAUCAAUGGUUCCAUCGACCUUCAUUUUCUUUUUGAAGAUCCAUUUACAACCUAAUGGUUUGGAACCCGGUGGAAGAUCAACUAAGAUCCAAGUUUGAUUUCCAAUUAUUGAAUCCAUCUCAUCAUUUAUUGCUUCUUUCCAAAAAGCAGAGUCUUGAGAUUUCAUUGUCUCUUCAAAUGUAAAAGGAUAAGAUUCAGUAUUAUAACAAUAAGGUAUAUUAUUGCAUAUACUUUCACCCUUUCCUUCUACAAGAAACAUAAUGAAAUCUGGUCCAAAAUCUUUAACCUUUUUAAUCCUCUUACUUCUCCUUAAUUCUUGACAAGAUUCAUCAUUACUAUCAGUUUGUUCCAGUGGAAUCUCAUUCUCAUUUGAAGAAUGAAUCAAUUGUUGUGGCUGUAAUUAUCUUGAUAUAGAAUUAAAUAUAUUUUCAUCAAAAAUAGCAUCUCUUGAUUCAAUAACAGUAUUAAUUGAAAUUGAAUCAUUUGGUUCAAUUACCAUGAACCUAUAUGCCUUGCUAUUAUGUGCAUAUCCUAUAAAUAUGCAUUCAAUUCCUCUUUCACCUAACUUUUUACGUUUAGGUGUUAAAACUUUGACAAUAGCUCUACAACCAUAAACCUACAAAUAAUUAAGGUUUGGUUUCCUUUUCUUCCAUUUUUCAUAGGGGGUUAUUUUAGUUUCCUUAUUAGGAACUCUAUUCAGUAUAUGACAAGCUAUUAGAACAACUUCUCCCCAAAAACCUUGUCCAAGACCUGAAUAUGAUAACAUUGAAUUUACCAUUUCAGUCAAGACUCUAUUUUUCCUUUCAGCUACACCAUUUUGUUGUGGUGUGUAAGGGGCUGAAACUUGAUGGACAAUUCCAGUGGAUUCAAAAUAACUUGGAUUAUAGUAUUCUCCACCUCUAUCUGAUCUUAAGCACUUAAUAAAUGAUUCACAAUGAAGUUCAACUUCAGAUUUAUGAACAUUAAAUUUAUCAAGCGCUUCAUCUUUUGAAUGCAAUAAAUAUACAUAACAAUAACUAGAACAAUCAUCAAUAAAAGUAACGAAAUAUUUAUUUCCACCUAAUGUAGGAGUAUUAUGCAUGUCACAUAAACCACUAUGUAUCAAAUCAAGCAAUUUUGUUUUCCUUCUAACCUUAGGGAAAGGGUUUUUUUAUAAUUUUAGUCAACAUACAUGUAUUGCAUUUUUCAAUAUUAUUAUUAAAAACAUGAAUUAAAUCUAACUUAUACAUUUCAUUCAAUUUUCUAUAAGUCAAAUGACCUAAUCUAUAAUGCCAAACAAAAAGAUUCAACCAUAUAAGCAGAAAUAGUAUUUUUAUUCUUAUUAAUAAUAUUGAGUUUGAACAUACUCUCAUACAUAUACCAUUUCCCUACAAAAAUUCCUCCCUUAGAAAAAAUAAACUUAUCUACGUCAAAAACAAGUUUGAAACCAAACUUAUUCAACAGACUUCUAGACACUAAAUUCUUCCUACCUUCUGGUACAUAAUAUACAUUAUUUAAGGUUAAAACCUUUCCAGAAGUGAAUUGUAGUUCAACAGACCCUUUGCCUUUGAUUGCUGCGGUGGAAGAAUUUCCCAUGUAUAAGACAUUGUCAUUUUCACAUUGCGGGAACUUUGUAAACAUGCUUUUGUCUUUGCACACAUGUUUGGUUGCUUCGGUAUCAAUCCACCAUGUACUAUCAUCUUGUGCCAUAUUAAUUUCAGAUAUCAUUGCAACGAACUUUUCGUUAUUAUCAGCCUUAGAAGAUGAUUUCUUCUUUAGAAAUCAACAUUCAUUCUUGAAAUGUCCCGGCUUUCCACAAUGAUAGCAUGAGCCCUUUUGUUUCUUUUUGAACUUAGGUGCUCUAUCAGUCUGUUUGAACUUUCUCUUGAAUGGUUUAGUAGUCUGUAUUUCCUCCGUAACAUGCACUUUGGCAUUUUUAGAAUUUUGGUUCUGAUCUUGUUUUCGAUAUUCUUCUUUAAUACAAAGAUGAUUUGCCAAAGUCUCAAGAGAUAUUUUCUCUUUCUUAUGUUUUAGACUUCUUUUAAAGUCUUUCCAAGAUGGAAGAAAUUUGUCUAUUAUGGAGGAUACAAUAAUUAUUUCAUCCAUUUUCAUAUCAUAUUGCUUAAAUUGAUUCAGCAUCUUUUCUAUAUCACGGAAUUGUUCCAUAACAAAACAACCAUCAACCAUUUGAUAAUUAUUAAAACGACUGACAAGAAACUUCUUACUUGUAACAUCUUCGGUCAUGUAUCUUGCCUCCAAUUUAUCCCAUAAUUCUUUAGCGGUGACCUCGUUUUGGUAGGUGUCAAACAAACUAUCAGAUAAACCAUUCAAUAUGUGGUUCAUGCACAUGUAGUCAGCAUUGUCCCAUUUUUAUCUUUCUCGGGUUGCAACAACAGAUUUGUUUUCAUUCUUUUCAGGUCUUGGAGUAUCCAAAACAUAAGGAAUCUUCAAAGUUGAUAAUAAGAAGUACAUCUUUUUCUGCCAUCGUCGAAAAUUGCCACCAUCAAACCGAUCAAGUUUGACAAAGUUGGAAGCCAACUCCCUUAGUGUUCCACUAUCUUGUGUUGUGGUAGUCAUAAUGAAAUAUAACCUUAAAUUGUUAGUACAAAACUCCGAUGAGGAAAAUCUCGAACACACAAACGGAACUUGAACAGAAAAAGAAGAAAUAGGACAAGGCUCCAAGGCGUGUAUCAAGCCACUACAUUUAAGGUUAUAUUCACCCCCACCUAUCUUCGGUGUGCAAAUGAGUUCCAAGCAAAUUAACCUCGAGGAUACAAUGAAGCCAAUGACUAUUUGCGUUUUGCACUGACGAGAAUAGUCCACUACGCAUUGAGCAAUGUAUAACAAAAACUCAAUUUCUACAAAGAAUUUCCGCAAUAAUACUUUAUAGAAUAAUCUAAUAAUAUUAGAAAAUGAAGGAAGGAAAGAAAUAAUAUUUAGAAUUUGUUGGUAUGUUUUCCAAAUGAAAUUUCAUUCCUAUUUAUAGGAAUUUUCAUGUCUCUUUAUAGAGACAUCUUUCAUCAAACAGAUGUCUUUCUGAAUAAUAAUGUCUUUAAAAUAAACCCAUAAUUAUUCAUUUAAUAUUAUAACUAUUCAAAUAAUAUUAUUUAAAUAGUUAUAAUUCUUUUUCAAAAAAUCAAAUAAUAUAAUCUUUUGAUUAAUUACACCCAUUCAUUUAUAGUUAUUGAAACACCUAAGUAAUCAAUUAAAAAAAUUUGAUAUUCAAAAGUUAGAAUUCGGUUAAUAUAAUAUAUGGAUAAAAUGAACGUAACGUGGAUUUGGCCCUCAAGGAACAAAUGGUCAACAUUCAUGGUUUCUUGAUUUCAAACACUUAGGUAAUGGCUAUUUCCACCAACAAAAUCUCCAUGCACGAAACGACAACAAGAUCUCUUUCAACAUGUCGGUUUUCUUUAAGUAAAUAAAAUAAAAAAGAAAUCGGUUAUUUUCUUCUCGUGCUUUUUCUUAUCAUUUCCAUAUGGGUGAAAUGAAUUCACCCUACAUACUUAAAUUAUGAUUCAAUUCUUUUUAAUUCAUACGAAAAUUUUAAAAUAUAUAUUCUAAAUUUAAAAAUUUACUAAUUAAAUUUUAACUAUAAAUUUAAACGUGUUUAAACAUAUUUCUUUUCUCAUUUAAAGGUUUGAAAGAUUAAAAUAGGUGCAAAUAUUUUAUAAUAUUUUAAAAAUAACUUAGCCUACAAGUGGAAUCAUACGAGUGAGUGCUCAACACUUCAUUCCAAAAGCAGCCGUAAAAAAAAAAGGACUAGAAACAUAUGGUCAAAGCUACCCACUUGUGAAUGCUUUUAAUCUUUCUUUUCUAAUUAAAGUUAAAACUUUGAAAAACGAAAAAAAACAAAAGGUUCUUCAUCACUUUUGAACGUAUGAAAGCAAGAAAUGGAUGCCUAGGUAUGUAUGUCGGUGUUAAUAUAUAUAAAGUAAUUUAUGAAUUUGAAUCUCAAAUUUAAUAAUUCUUGUAUUUAUUUUUAUUUGAGUAAAUAAUACGUGGAGAAGUUACAAUCAUAUUUCAUAAUUACGUGUAUAUAUUAUUGAAUAAUUAAUUAAAAUCCCAAUAUAAAUACUAAAUUUACUUAUAAUGAGGCUAGAAUUUGAAACUUUAAAGUUCUACAACAUCUUUUAAGUUUUUAAACUUAGUAAUUAGGUAGGUUUUGGUAUUUGUAAUUUUUUUUCUAAUUUACUUUGAUAUUUAAAUUUAACAAUUAGGGGACUAAAAGUUAUAUUAACCAAUUGAAUACACUAGAAAACGUGAGCUAAAAACAAGGGUAUUGAGCAGGUAAAAUUAUCUUUAGGUAUUGAAAAUAGGGAAGGGAACAAAACACAGUGAAGGGAAGUCAACUUUGAAUGCUGGUUUCGAAGAUUUGACAUUUUAAGCUACAUAAUUCCUGCAGCUUACAUCGUCACCAAUCAUAAUUUAAACCUCUAACUAUGUAAUAAGCUGCAAAUUUUCCACUUCUCAAACAGCUGGUGGGGGCAGUGGGGGCCUUGCAUUGAUAAGGUUAGGUAACCACAUAAUAGCAAUUGAAAGUUUACGAAGUUGUACUACAGAAAAUUAAUUAAAAUGUUACAUAAAGUAUAAUAUCAUGCAUAUAAAAGGUUUUAAAAAAAUAUGUUAAGAGGUCAAAUUUUAUAUAAUAAUAAAUUCAUAUUUGAGACAUUAUGACAUAUAUUUUAAGAAUAAUGCAAUUUUUAUUUUUGAAAAAAAAUCAUUUUUUUUAUUGCUUAACUUUGUCUUUACUUGUCUGGCAAAACUAAAGGAGAAUAAAAUUAGUCAGAUAACAAUAAAUUUGAAAAACAUUCACAGAGAUAAAAUUGCAUAGUUUUCUAGCAAAUUUUCCUUAACGUGAUGCAUUUUUUUCCCACCUUUUUUGUUCAUAUGAAGGACAUUGUAAUUAGCAUUUUUGGGGACUAUAUUGAAUUUGGCAUCAUCUAUGUUAUUCGGAUUUUAUUGUUAUUGUUUGAUAAGAGUAUGCUUCAAAUAUAGGUAUAUUAAUUUUUCUUUUUUUAAGUUUGAGAAUCGUUGAAGCAUCAUUUCUCGUAACCAUAUCUAAAUAUAUGUCACAAGAAGUGUCAAACAUGCAUAAAACAUGAAGGGUCGGAAUAAUUUUCAUCACGGAAUAAUAUUCAUCAUUGCCUUAGAUUUAUUUGUGUAAUGUUAGGUCAACAUAAUUGCCAUCAUUCCUCCAUGCAUGUAGUGGAACUUAAGUAAUGUUGUGUUGAUCUGGGCCUAUUUUGGAUGAACAAAAGGCAUGCACAUGCAUGAGAAUCCAAGAAUGUCUAUGAUAAGUAAUCCCGCAGUUGUCAGUUGGAAUAUUUGUGUUGAAAGAUAUUGCUCAUUGAGAAAUAAGAAGACAUAAAAUAGGCAUUCCAAUGAGUACUGCCAUAAGCACUCUCGCUAGUAAAAGAAAACAUUAAUACAUAACAUACAAGAAAACAGAACAUGAGUAUUAAGCAGCUCUUAUUGCAUGGAUACUAAUUUAUCUAUUUAGCUAGUCAUAACAGCUCGGUUCUUGGGAUUGCUAGCCGAUGGAAUCUCUCUAUUGAGGCUUCCCCAAUGGAGGGUGUCCUGGAUAGUGACCAUACGGUGGUUUCUUGGGAGACUCAUGUACUGGUGGUUUAGGUUCGGGCUUCUCUUUCUUUGGUGGCGUGUAAACCGGUGGCUUUGGUGGCUUAGGCUCAUACACUGGUGGUUUCUUUGGAGGCUUAUAAGCCGGUGGCUUCUCCUUCUUUGGUGGUCCAUACACUGGUGGUUUGGGCUCAGGCUGCUCUUUCUUUGGUGGUGUAUAAACUGGUGGCUUAGGCUCAGGCUUUUCCUUCUUUGGGGGUUCAUAUACUGGUGGUUUGGGCUCAGGCUUCUCUUUCUUUGGUGGUGUAUAAACUGGUGGCUUAGGUUCAGGCUUUUCCUUCUUUGGAGGUUCAUAUACUGGUGGUUUGGGCUCAGGCUUCUCUUUCUUUGGUGGUGUAUAAACUGGUGGCUUAGGUUCAGGCUUUUCCUUCUUUGGAGGUUCAUAUACUGGUGGUUGGUCAGGCUUCUCUUUCUUUGGAGGUGUAUAAACUGGUGGCUUAGGCUCAGGCUUUUCCUUCUUUGGUGGUUCAUAGACAGGGGGCUUAUGUUCAUAAGGUGGGGGUUUCACCUUAGGAGGUUUAUAAACAGGAGUAGGGGGCUUCCCAUAGUUGGGAGACUCAUAGGUACCAAAAGAGGGAGUGGCGAGAGCCACAACUCCAAGUAGCAAUAUUAGCAAGUGUGUGGUAGACAUUAUUGAAGUGUUUGCUUUCCAUGGUGCUAUAAGAUGAGCCCUUUUUAUAGUGGCAAAGGAGCCUUACUGUUAGCCUAAUUGACAAACAAUUUUAUUGUUUUCAAACCUUUGGAAUAGUCAGCUAGAUGGUAAUUAAUCUUUUAAAUGGUUCAUAAAUGAAAUAGGGUCCAUUUAGGUCCCCACUUAGUUGAAAUUUUGGACUAUGGAUACACAAGUCUCUGUCAUGAUUGAAUAAAAUUAUACGAGUGUUGCCGUACAGAUCGUAGUGAAAUAACAAAAUAUCAAAUGCAUAAAAUCAAUCUAGUUAUCAUAAAAUACUUAAUUAAUUAUUUUAUUUUGGAAUUAUAUUUUUUCAAUUUAGUAUUUAGGCAUAUUUUUAUCUAUUUUAGCAAUAUGUUACAUUUUUAUUAUCAAUAUUUUAUCUUAAGAUAAAUUGAAGCGAAAAUAAUAAUCUAAGUAUCAAUUUGGAAUAAAAAAAAAAACAAAUCUCUUUAAAAAGAGUCAGAGCUUUGAAUUUUUAGAUGUGAAGAUAAGGUUUUUCUCUUGAAAAAUAUGAACGACGGAAAGAUAGGAGUGAAGGGACGUGAACUUACUCUUCAAAAUAGCAUAGGGUAAUUGGCUAAUUGAUCCUUGGGCUAAUUCAAUAUAAAAUCUUCUAACUUCAUCCCUUGUCAUUUUAGUCCCUCAACCUUUUUAUAGGUAUCUUUGUAUCUUUUAUUUAUUUUUUAAUAUUCUUCAUUUCCGUUUUAUGGUCCAAGUUCAAGGUUUGUGAUUGCCCCUUCCAAUAAUGUGGUUUCCAAGAUUCGAACUUGAGUCCUUCCCUUAGAAAAACAAUUUAUCUUACAAUUGCACCCAACUACUUGUUAAUUCAUAUAUUUUAUUUAUUGACCUUCAAUCAUCAUAGAUUACAAAUAAAUAAAUAAGAAAAUUAAAAUACUUUAUAUAUCCUUUAGAUACAACAAAAACUUGGAGGUUUUGAAAUUUAUAUGAAGAACCAUAUUAUCAAGGAUUUACAUCAAUUAUAUUAUUUUCUUAUUUCUUCAUAUCAUUUCAAUACGAAUGAAUUCACACUCCAUACUUAAAUUCGGAUUUAAUUCUAUUUAAUCCAUAUAAGUCUAUAUAAAAGUAAAUCCUUUGUUUACACAUGCACCACCAUGGUGCUUUCCUUUUCUUUUCUUUUUUUUUUCUUUUUUUUUUGCAUUUUAAAAAAUGUUAAAUUUUAAUUUUGACCUCUCUAUUAUGUCUAAAUUAGGAUUUACAUCAAUUAUAUUAUUUUCUUAUUUCUUCUUAUCAUUUCAAUACGAAUGAAUUCACACUCCAUACUUAAAUUCGGAUUUAAUUCUAUUUAAUCCAUAUAAGUCUAUAUAAAAGUAAGUCCUUUGUUUACACAUGCACCACCAUGGUGCUUUCCUUUUCUUUUCUUUUUUUUUCUUUUUUUUUUUGCAUUUUAAAAAAUGUUAAAUUUUAAUUUUGACCUCUCUAUUAUGUCUAAAUUAGGAUUUACAUCAAUUAUAUUAUUUUCUUAUUUCUUCUUAUCAUUUCAAUACGAAUGAAUUCACACUCCAUACUUAAAUUCGGAUUUAAUUCUAUUUAAUCCAUAUAAGUCUAUAUAAAAGUAAGUCCUUUGUUUACACAUGCACCACCAUGGUGCUUUCCUUUUCUUUUCUUUUUUUUUCUUUUUUUUUUUUGCAUUUUAAAAAAUGUUAAAUUUUAAUUUUGACCUCUCUAUUAUGUCUAAAUUAGGAUUUACAUCAAUUAUAUUAUUUUCUUAUUUCUUCUUAUCAUUUCGAAUGAAUUCACACUCCAUACUUAAAUUCGGAUUUAAUUCUAUUUAAUCCAUAUAAGUCUAUAUAAAAGUAAGUCCUUUGUUUACACAUGCACCACCAUGGUGCUUUCCUUUUCUUUUUUUCUUUUUUUUUGCAUUUUAAAAAAUGUUAAAUUUUAAUUUUGACCUCUCUAUUAUGUCUAAAUUAGGAUUUAGCCUCUAUACUUUAAUUUCUAAUGUAAAUUUAUCUUUAUCUUUUUUAUAAUGAUAUCAAUUAGUACAAAUAGUUAAUAUCGCUAACUUUUCAAUUAAAAUGUGGCUUAGAGAUGAAUAUGUGGCUUUCCAUUUAUUUUUCGAGUUUGUCUUGCUUUUUUUUCUGGCAUUAAUGAUAUUAAUUAAUCAUAUACGGUGUUGAAACUUGAGAUUCAAUAUGUAUAUAUAUUAAUUAAUGACAUAAUUUGUAACGCCUCAAAUCCGGCCUAGGAGAUAUGGCUGUAUCUGGUGUGUCACAUUGAAGUGUUUUUCGAAAACCAUGUUUUCAUUGAAAACUCUUCUUGAAAUUUCAAACUUCUUGCCAUUUCAAACUUGUACAAAACCUUAGUUUGCGUUUGCUUAUUUUCAAUCGAGGUUUAUUAAAGAAACGUUGUUACCUUCAAAACCUUAUUGUUGCGGAAGCUUAAUUUAAAACAAAUGAUUUGCGAAAACGUGUUAUUUAAAAUUUGAGUUGCGGAAACGUAGCGUUUGAAAAUAGUUAUUGUUUUGGAAAAUCGGAAUCUCCUUCUAGCAGAUAAGAAUCACAAUCAAUAAAAUCUCGAAUUUAAAAUCCAGAAUUUUAAAGGCCUUGUUACAACCAGAAUCAAAAUCAAAGUGCUUUAGUAAAUGAGCAAAACAGAAUAAAACUUGUGCAGUUGUGUGGCCCUCUCCGAGUCCCUCGCAGCUCUGAACCGUCUAACGCUGAGGAUUACCUGAAAGUAGGGGUGAGCAAAACUCGAUUCGACUCGAAAAAAUAAAAAAAAAUCGAAUUUCGAGUUAAACGAAUCAAGUUAUUCGAGUUAAUCGAGUUAUUCGAAUCAACUCGAAUUUUUUUUUUCGAAUUUCGAGUUCGAAUUGAGUUGAGUUUUCGAAUUCGAAUAACUCGAAUAACUCGAAUAAUUCGAAUAAUUCGAAUAUCAAACUAUAAUAAUUUACAUUUUUACCCCAAAACUCCCAAACCUUUUUACUUUUCCCUCAAAACUUUUACUCCUUCCUACUUUCCCCCCAAAACUUUUAUUCCCCUCCCAACCCCCUAAUCUACCCAAAAUCCAUUUCCCACCAAAAUUUUACUCUCCCAUUUAUUUUUUCUCAAAAUUUUACUCCCAAAAACCCUCAAAACAUUUUAUUUUCCCCCAAAAUUUUUACUUCCUCUCACUUUUCCCCUAAAACUUUUAUUCCCUUCCCAUCCCACCUCCCAUCUAUCCCAAACCCUCCCCCCUCCAAUUUUUUUUUAAUAUUUUCCCUCCAAACUAUUUACUUUCUCUCAAAAUUUUAUUCUCCAAAACUUUUUAUUUUUCCCCUAAACUUUUACUUCUCACCCUUUACUCUCAAAUAAAAAAUCAAAAUUAUCCAAAAAAAAUCACUAAACAUAAAUAGUAAUAAUUUUAUUUAUAUCUACUAUUUAUAUUAUUAAAUUAAAUUUCAAAUUUUAUAUUAUUUAUAUUAUUAAAUUGUUUAGUCAUAUUGAAUAUUUAUAUUAAAAUUGAAUUAUUAAUUAUGCCAUAAAAUAUUCGUGUUAAAAUUUUAUAUUGGUAUCAAUUUCACAUUUUUUUUAAAAUAACUUUUAUUAAAAAUCAUAUUUUUUACAUUUAAUAUAUUUUUUUAAUUCUAAAACACAUAGUGACAAGAAUCUGAAGAUAAUUGAAACAACUAAGCAAGCAAAGAAGCUAAUCAAUAUAUAAAAAAUUAAUAAAUAAAUUAUGAAGUGAUGAAAGUUAAUAAAAAUUUUGAUUAAGGUGGACAAAUUUUAUUACGAUGGGUGACAAUGGUUACUGUCGAAACCAUUUUUUUGAAAACAAAAAUAAGUUAUCGACUUUGAAAAUAAAAAUUGGAGUCGCCACCGAUCCUUGAUUGAGUGUGAUCGGCUCCCCUUAAAAACAUUUGGCCUGCGAAUUUGAGAAACAGGUUCGGGAGUCAGUUACGCACGANNNNNNNNNNNNNNNNNNNNNNNNNNNNNNNNNNNNNNNNNNNNNNNNNNNNNNNNNNNNNNNNNNNNNNNNNNNNNNNNNNNNNNNNNNNNNNNNNNNNNNNNNNNNNNNNNNNNNNAAAUGAUAAAACAUUCUCCGUGAAUGGAUCUAAAAUGAUAAAACAUUCUCAUUUCAAAGAAAUAAAACACCACACCCAGUAAGUUAGGGCACAAUAUUUUAUAUCUUCAAAAUACCGAAUAUUACUUUUUGUUUUAGAAAUUCUUAUUUCGAGAUAACGAAAUGUCACGACCCGAGAAUAAGGUUUUAUUUGAAAAUUGCAAAUUUAUUGUAAAAUAAAUACUUAGCUCGUUAAAUUCAUCGAAAAAAUGAUCACGAUCCAGUAAGUUAGGACACGAUCUUUCUCGAGAACCAUGAUUGCUAAAUAUUUAAAAAUUAAAAAAAAACGAUUUUAAUGCUUUGACGAAGCAAAAAUAGAUUUUUCUUUAAAAGUAUGAUAAAACGCUAAUGCGUAACAUGAAAUCAUUACUCUAAUUUAAAAUAUACCUAUAUAUGUAUACAAAAAUUAUAAAAAGAACAUAAUCAUAAAAUAUAAUGAGUUGUCAUAAAAAUAAAAACGUAAGCAUAAUAUAUUAAUAAUUAUGAAAAUAUAGGUAUAUAUGUAUAUAUAAAAAUAUAUGAAAAAUAUAUUUAUAAAAGUUUUGAAUAAUAUAUGUAUAUGCAUAUAUGUAAAAAAUAUAUAUUUUAAUUUCUUUUAAAAAAAAUGAAAAACGAUGUGAAAAUCAUAAAAUGUAAGUAUAUGUACGUAUGCAUAUAAAACUAAGAAAAGUAAAGUAAUAAUGAAGUAUAUGAUUUGUACAUAUUAUAAAAAAUGUAUAAACAUAUGAAUUAUAAAACAUGAAAACAUAAAUAAUUAUAAAAAAUAUGAAUGUAUAUAAUAUAUAUAAACUAUAUAUAUAUAAAAAAAUAUGGUAAUAAAAUAUAUACGCACUAUAUAUAUAUAUAUAUUUAAAACAUUUAGAAAUAAAAAAUAUACACAUAUAUUAUAAAGUACACAUGCGUGUAUAUAUGUAAGUAUAAUAAAUAUAAAAAUAAUAGUAAUAAUAAAAAUAAUAAUAACUAUUAUUAUAAAAUAACUAAAAAACUUAAAAUGAAAGAUUAUGGAUUAAAUUGAAAAUAAUUGAAGUUUCAGGGGCAAAUCUGAAAUAAACAAAACACCAAUGGAUCAAAUGGAACAUGCAGUUAACAGUGGAGGACCGAAAGUGAAAUUAAUCCCUCCGUCCAAAACUCCACGCAGCAAUGGAUUAAAAUAAAACAAAUUCAACAUUUCAUGGCAAAAUUUGAAAACAAACCACAAUGAUUUUGAAAUGAUGGGAUAAAAUGAAGGAUUAAAAACGCAAAUAACCCAUCAGUGUUUAAAACCCUUUUCAUCUCCAAUUAAAAGUCUACUCUGCAGCAGCAAUANNNNNNNNNNNNNNNNNNNNNNNNNNNNNNNNNNNNNNNNNNNNNNNNNNNNNNNNNNNNNNNNNNNNNNNNNNNNNNNNNNNNNNNNNNNNNNNNNNNNGCCACGCCAGCCGUUCAAGCUUCGCCGCCGACUCCGAUUCAGGUAAGUUUCGUCCUUUUCUUUUUGCUUUUUCUUUUGCACCAAAAAUAGAGAAGCAAAGAAAAAAAAAGUAGAUAAAUAAAUAAAGCACAAAGAAAAUUACCUUCAAAAAUUGUUUUUGAUUCUUUGUUUGUAUUUCAGUAUUUUUCCAAUACAAGAUUUUUCUCUUUUUAGUACAAAAUUUUUCUAACCAAGUUACAGAAAAUCAUUGGCCUUUAUAUAGCCCUCCCUAAAUCCUUUUACAACUGUUUUGCUGUGUGUAUAUCCUAUUAGUGUUGUCUGUGGCUUACAUAUGUGUGAGCGUUGUGCGAGUGGACGUGCCAGCGAAGAUGUGGGACAGUUUGGGAGGCUGCCGAACGUGGGGCAUGCACGGCACUGGAGGUUGCUGCGACGUGGGGUGGCUACUGCUAACUGCUACUUAGGGUUAGGCUAGGGUUAGCACACUUGGGCCUUAUUGGGCCAAAUGUAAUUGGGUCAGGAUUGGCCCAAGUUUUAUUGGAUUUGAUUGGUUAAUUUGGGCCCCGGGUUAAAAUUGGCUAUUACAGUUACAAGGAUCCAAAAUUAUUUUUUAAAAUUUAACUCGAACAAAUAUAUUCGAUUCGAUUCGAUUCGAAUUCCAUCUCACUCGACUCGAUUCGAGAAAACUUCAAAUAAAGUUAGGAUGAUAAAAUGAGAUUCGAAAACUCGAUUAACUCAAAAAUUUCCGAUUCAAUUCGAUUCGAUCGAAUGCUCACCCCUACCUGAAAGGUUAAAAACAGGGUGAGUUUACAAAAACUCAGUGUGUAAUCCCCUAUCAUUCAGUCAGUAAUAUAAGCAGUAAUAGUCUAGGCCUGAGCCCUUUUCAAUAACAAAACAACGUGGCUUUAGCCCAAAUCAGUAAAAGUGUAGUGUGGGCCUUAGCCCAUUACAGUAUCAGAAUUAGAAACAAAAUACAUGUGGGCCUAAGCCCAAUACAGUGACAGAAUCAAUAAUAGAAAUGCAACAAUGCAAUCAUGCAACCCAUCCCAAUCCAGCCAACACACUACCCGUACCAACUAACACACCAUGUAGGGAUAAAAUAGACCCACCCAGCCAAUACACCAAUAUCAGCCAACACACCAAAAUGGCUAAGAGAAGUAAACAGGAUAGCUAUAAGCUAUAAACAGAAUGGCUACAAGCCAUAAGUACAUAAUAUGAUUGACACAAAGCCAUCAGUAGCAGUGAUAUGAUUGGCACACAUCUAUCAGUAACGAUAAUAUCAUCGGCACAAAGCCAUCAGUAACAGUCAUAUAAUCGGCACAAAGCCAUCAAUAGCAUUGCAACAAAGCUGCCAACAACAGUAUCGCAGCAAAAAUGCCAGUAAUAGUAUAUGUGGCCAAGCUACCAGUAACAGUGAUUGUGGCAGAGCCACCAGUACAGUACUUCUUCCAUAACUGUAUCCCAACCCCAUGCAGUAUGUCGUGUAUGUAGAAUGCCAUACUCAGAAUCAGUCAUACAAAUCACAGACAAAUCAGUCAUACCAUUCACAGACAAAUCAAUCAUUUAAAUCACAGGCACAUCAGUCAUUUACAUCACAUACAAAUCAAUCAUUUACACUCGAGGGGCAAAAUAGUAAUUUACCCUCCAGGGGCAUUAUGGUCAUUUUACCUUACAGGGGUAUUUUGGUCAUUUAAACCUAUGGGGGUAUUACGGUCAUUUUACCUUAUGGGGGUAUUUUGGUCAUUUUAUCCUAUGGGGGUAUUUCGGUCAUUUUACCCUAUAGGGUAUUUCCGUCAUUCUACCUUAUGGGGGUAUUUCAGUCAUUUAACAACCUUUUUGAAGGUCUACAGUUACCUCAAACGACACAGAUAACCUAAAUGGUCAUAACAGUGUAAAUGGGCCCAAGGCCCAUAUUCAGCCUACGUGGGCCCACACGCACGUGUGGCCCAUUUAGCUCAAAUUCAGUCACGGCUAUGCAAACUACAUAACCCAGUCCAGUAUUUUCCACUUAACGUGGAUUUUAUCUGUGUGGAGCCUACGAGCCCAUUGGGCCAACACGACCCAUUUCAGCCCAACGAGGCCUAUAACGGCCCAAGAGCAUAAGAACGCUCGUGGUGGCCUCAAUAGUCUAGAUCCCGUAUUCGUGGGCUCGAUUCACCACAUGAACAUUCACACGGCCAUGUGGCCUCAAUCACUGUAUUUUCACCUUUUCGGCUUUUGCCGAUUCACAAAAAAGACAGUGUGAUUACACACCUGAUGCGAUUUACAGAUUCCCUUCGUUCUGAACACUCUUAUUCUGAAAAUCAAUGAUCAUCGCACCCUUGGUUCCCAAGCAAAGUGCCAGUCAACCUCGACCACCACCAGUUAGGAAUGGAAGCAAUGCAGGUUGGAGAAAACGAUGAAAACCUUGAAAACCUUGCCGAUCUCCCAUAACAAGAAACAAAUGAGGUGGAUAUAUAUAACUCUCCACAAUAACAACCUCCUCAAAUCUCAAUAUUCUCUUCUCAAAUCUCUCCCCUUAUCACUCCAUCGAUUUCUCCUCAACUCCCUCUUAGGGGUGUGCAUAAUUCGGGUAAAACUGAAAAAAUUCAGUUAACCGAUCGAAUUUGGUUAAUCGGUCGGUGAACCGAAUUUUUUUGGUCGGGGGUCGGUUAAUUUUUUAUGAUUUUUCGGUUAACGGUUAAUUCGAUUCAAAAUCGGUCAGUUAACCAAAUUUUUUCGGUUAACCGAAAAAAUUAAUAAAUAAAAUUAUCCAACUCAACCCAAUUACCCAACCCAAUUACCAACCCAACCCAACCUAAUUACCCAACCCAAUAAAACUAAAACUAAAGUUUACCCAAUUACCCAACCCAAUAAAACUAAAACUAAAGUCUACCCAAUUACCAACAUAAUAAAAAUAAAACUAAAGUCUAACUCUUAAGUAUCUACCCAAUUACACAUGUUUUUUUUUUUAGGUUUAAUGCAAAUGGAGAUUUUUUGGAGAGAAGAAAUGGAUAUAAAUGGAGAAUAUUAAAGACUUACAUUUCAACUAUGUGUUAAUUUCAAGAAUUAUGUAAUGUUUUUAAUUAUGUAGUGAUUCAAAGACUUAUGUAAUAUUUUUAAUUAUGUAGUGAUUCAAUUCGGGUAAUUCGGUUAAUUCGGUUAAUUUUUAACCAAAAAUAAAAACCAUACAAUUUUCGGUUAAUUCGGUUAACCGACCUAAUUAGCUGAAAAAAUUUUGGUUUGGUUAUAAAUUUUGGAAGGUCUGUUAAUUCAGUUAUAGCUAUUUCGGAGACCGAUUAACCGAAUGCACACCCCUACUCCCUCUAUGACCAGUUCAAACUUCCUUCGGCAGUAUUUCACUCCAACUCUGCCACUUACACGGCUCAAGCAACAAAAUAAACACCCCAUUGCACAACCCAAGACUUAAACCUCAAAUCUUACAAUUACAUAACAUGCCACCUUACCACUAAACCACAAGCUCUUUUUAUGUUAUAAAAUAGACACUAAUAUUUAUAAGGCCUAAACGCCACUGUCCAGAUUCAAUUAAGAGCAAAACCAAAAAUUCUGCAGAAGCCAAAACUUGAACCCCUAACUUCUUAGACACUUUCAAACACUCCUAAAUCACUUAACCACUGAAGCAAACAUUUAUUCAUAUCACUUUCUUGCACAACUAAAUAUUUAUGUGCAGUUUUCUAACUGUUCCCUUGUUCAAAACCUAUUUCUUCUAGGCCCAAAAUUCGGGGCAUUACAUAAUUUGUUCAUUUUACUUUUAUAAUGUCAUUAGUUUUUCAAACUACAAAAUAUUGUUAACUAUUUCAAUUAAAAUGCCGACAUCAAUUUUUCUUAAGAAAUACUAUUCCAACAACAAAAAAUAUAUUUUAUCAUGAUAAGUUCAAACAAAUGUUUUUUAAAAAAAAAAAGUCCACCAAUAUUUUCAAUGUUGUUUUAUUGUUACAUUACCACAAAGAUUUUUUUUAAAUUUCAAAAUGUCACACCAAUAAAUUUAAUAACAAAAACUUAACAAUGGUUAUAAUUGAAUCUAAAUUUUUACUAAAAAUAGAGCGAUCAAAUUUAUGAAAACAAAAAUAAAAAAUUAAAUUUCAAUUGCACGAAAUAUAUAAAGAUUUAAUAUAGUUUAAUCUUCAAAUUUUUAUUUCAUAAUUUAACACAACGAAAUAUAUCGGAUCUAUCAAUGGAAUUUUGAAAAAAAAGAAUCAUAGGAGUGAGUGCCUAACACAUCAAUCCAAAAGCAGCGUUAAAUUAAGAUUAGGCAACAUAUGGUGAAAGGCACCCCCACUUGAGAACAACGUAAAGAUAAAGUUGUUAAAAAGCUUUAAAUUUCUAUGCUUUUAAUCUCACCAAAUUCAUCUUUUCUCAUUACUGUAAUCAUUAAUUUAUAAUUAUCAUCUUUUCUAAUUACAGUUAAAACUUUGAAAAAGAUCAAAAGUAGAAUUCUUUGUCACUUCUGAAUUAACUUUUCAAAGCAAGACAUGGAUGCCUGUCGGUGCCAAAAAUAUAAAUAUAAACUAAUUUAUGAAUUUCAAAUUUAAUAUUUUGUUUGUGUAAAUAGUACGUCGGGAAGUCACCAUCGUAAUUGAUACUUACAUCUAUAUAUUAUUUAAUAAUUAACUAAAAUUUCAAAGUAUUAAUAUAAUUGAUUUUUAUUAAUUUUUACCAACAAUUUAUUGGAUACAUCAUAUUUUCAAAAUUUUAAGACAUUAUUGAAUAGAGCACAUGUAUAAUAAAACAGACAUAAAAAAAUUCAUUAGCAUCACAUUUAUAAAAUAUUGAAAUUAUAACUCAUAAAUCGAUUCAAUUGUUAAUUUUUGUUGCUAUUUUUGGAUUUUUAUCAAUUACAACGUUUUGUUUAAAAAUCGAUUCAAUAUUCGGUAAAUUUCUAACCUAAUCCACCUAAUUAACUUAACAAAUGGAUUUCAACAACCUACUAAAACGAUGGAAUACACUAGAAAACGUGGGCUUAAAACAUGGAUCUUGAAAAUGGAAAGGAGCAAAACACAGUGCAGGAAAGUCAAAGUGAAAUGAUGGUUUCAGUCUUUUCUUUAAUAAAAAUAAUAUAAGGGUAGAUAUUAUUUAUGGGAAUGAGUUAUUUACUAUUCAUUGGUGCUGCUUGAUAUAUCGACGACACCACUUUCCUUUUCAGUUAAUUAUUAUGUAACAUUUAUUUUUAAAAAAUUAUUGGUACCGUAAAUGUGUCAGGUUAAAAAAAAUUGGACUGAAAGAGAAAAAAAAUAAGUUGUCAACGUUACGGGAUCGGAUUUUGAAUUGUUGGCGGCACCAAGAAAAAUUUCCCUUUCAGUUUUUUUCUCUGACUGUACUUUUUUUUAGAAAUACCACUGGUGUCACCUAACACACUGGCGGCACCAAUUAAAAAAAAUUGUCUCAGCUUUUUUUUCUUGACAAUAUUUUUUUUACAAAAAUCACCAAUGUCGCCUGAUAGACCGGCAGCACCAUGAUUUUUUUUGUUAUUUUCCCACCCUAUAUACCCAUAUUUUCAAGAGUAUUUUGCUAAAUACAUACGAGUGCCGCCUGAUACAAUGACAGCACCAAUAAAAAAAAUUUUACAAAAAAGAUGAUUACGUGAUGAUUGACUGAAUAUGAGGUGGUGUUGCCUAUGUCACACCCCAAAAACCAUGUUAGAAUAAUCGUGUUUGUGAAAACCAAGAGUGGUCACACCUCGAUUUAUAUGGUUAUCUUUGUGCGCUUGUAAAUAAAUCGAAGGCUUGAAAUGGAUACCAAAAUUAGGGUAAUAAAUAAUUAAUUAAAGUAUUAAAAUAAUAUAAUCAAGUUUUAUUAUAUUAAUUAAUAUAAAACAAAACUUGAUUACGUGGUUUAAUUUGAAAAUAGUGUGUUUUAAUUGAGUUAGGACCUAAUUGGAAAAAAAGGAGAAACAGGUGUUGGGAAAUGUGCCCAUAUUGUAGUAAACAUGUAAUUAUUUUCUAUUUAUUUGAAUAAUGAAUAAAUAAAUAAAGUUAAUUUUACAUUUUACUAUUAUGUCUUUUGUAUUUAUGUCUUUUAUAUUUUGUACGCAUAACAAAAUUGUGACAAGCAAAUAUUAGUUCAUUGAUUGUCUAAAGUUCAAACUGAAGAUAAGUGGCAUUGUAAAGAACGUUUACAUUGCGAGAAAGACAACUUACUUCAGUAGAUAAUCUAAAUGAGUCUGUAAUCCCUUAAAAGAAUCAAGAUGAGCAUUUAACUCAAAUACUGAGAAUGACUAUUAUGUCGUUUACAAUUCUAAAUGGGGAGAUGGUUAGUCUUGGAUAUCGGAGCAGUUGACUCCACGAGUAGAGACAUAGAUGUAUUUAUUGGUAGAAUGAUACAUUGGACUGGACCCAAGAUGAAUUAAUUUUAAAUGCGUUUGUGAAUUAAUUCACUUGUGACGUUAAUGGUGUGAUUUACCUAAAUCCUGUGUUAGUCACUGACCAUGCGUAUGCAACUCGUGUGCUUUAAUAUAAGUGGAGGCUUAUGCUCUAAAGAUGAUCGAGCCCAUAGCCGACAUUUUGGGUACAUGACUUGUGUAUGGCAUGGCUUUACUAGCAACAGUGGAAUUCAUAGAUCAAUUAAAGAGUUAAUGAUAUCCUCUCAUUGGCAUUGUGUGGAUUGAUAAAUAUGGAACGUGGUCACGAGUUGCUCGUUUUUGAACGAGCAAUUUAUCACAGUCAUUUGUUGACAGUGAUCAUAUUAAUCAUUAAGAAGACACAAUGGUGACAAUGAGAUAAAAUAGGAUUGUAUUCAGUGAACGGAUUUAACUCAAAGGAAUCAAGGAUAUCAUAUGAGGGUAACACACACAUGACGAGGUCAUUGGACAAAGCAGUUGGAUGAAUUUACACACACUUGAAUUCAAGAGAAAGUUGUAGAGAGAAAAUUCUCUGAAGAGAUUAUUUCAAAAAAUUUCUAAAGAUAUUUUUCUGAUUUACAACUUAACUCAAAAGUUUAGAGAAAUUGCAAAAUUACCCCACUGGUAAUUUUUGUGAAAAUUUUUCUUAUUCGAAGGUAGCCCACACUCAGUAGACGUGAGCUUGAGGAUAACAGAGAAGACUACUCAGUUGAAGUGCUUAUCCUAGACGAAUAAAAAAUGUACAAUUUUUAUUAAGUGUUUAUUACUUUAGAUAUCACAACCAAGAUCUUGUUUUCAAAAAAAUUUUAAAACUCUGGUUUUUCCCUAAAUUUAUUUUUCACUACAUUUUUCAAACCCGUUUUUCCAACAACAGGGGGUGGCCAAAUGGGAAAAUUGCCCAAUUUUUGGGAAAUUGGUCUUCUAUUAAGAACUUUCACCGUCUUCUUCUUCCCUAUCCUAACCUAAACCCCCAUCUAAGUUCCGAGAGUAAGUCUUUCCUAUACAUGUUGCUUUUGUUGAAAAGUCACGCCUAAGAAAGUUAGGUUGUGUUGUGUGGUGCUAUUACAAUAGGUAAUAUGUGAAAAAAAAUGUGAAUGUGAUAUGUGGUAUACUAUUUUUAAUGCACACAUAUGAGAUUUGAUUUAUGAUAGCUCAAAGAGCAUUAUUGUGGCACUUAGAGUGCAAUUAAAUGUGAUUCUGAUAAGCAUAUAUUGUGUACAAGAUUGUGGUGUGAAGGGAUGAAUAUGAAAAGAGGUUAUGUGCAUUAAAACAGUAAUUAAAUAUGGGUAAUUGUGGACAUUUUAGCCUUGUGAUCUCUUAAAAUCGUAGGAUAUAAUUGACAUGCCAAUAGAGAUUAUAUGUGCCUUUUGUUUUGGAAGGGUGUGAUACGAUGCCUUAAGGCUGAGCACUUUUGUGCUCUUUGGUGUUUUAGAUGGUUACCGUGUAUCUCAGUCAUUUUAUUAGAAUUUACUGAGAGAAAUAAAUUAAAAUAUUAAUAAUGAGACUUGACUACGAGUAUUAAUUGUUAUAUAUAAACUAAAGUGGAAUGUACUAAGAACUAUAGGUUAAAUAAGUUAAUGAAAAAUUGAGUAAAUGUAAGUUAAUAAAGAAUAUGUAAGUUGAGCCCCUUCUUCCCAUUUCUUUUCUUUUAAUUUUUAGCAACUUAGGAUAAAAGCUACACUAAAAUAUAUAUAGUUAGGUUUAGAGAUAAAACAAGAAAUAGCCUUCAGGUCUAAAGGUUAAGAGUUAGCUUCCCUCCCUUGUGUUCAUAGGUUCAAGCCCUUUCCUUACCUUUUUUAUUUUGGGAAUUCGACAAGUCUCCUAAAAAGAAAGCAAUAUUCACAAUUAAGUGUCUAAAUUAGGCAAGAAAUGAGCUAUAGGCUCCAUGGUUAAAGCGCUAGAGUCCCUCCAGACCUAAGUUUGAGCCCUCUUCUUCUCUUUUUAUUUCGUAAUUUCAUCAAAAACGCCCCAAAUUAUACAUAUAUAAGAUAAAGUGUCAAAAAUAAGUAAGAAAUGAACUAUAGGCUCAACAGUUAAGUGGUUAGUGCCUCUCCCUAAAGACCUAGGUUUGAGCCUCCUCCUCCCCUUUCAUUUCAAACUCAAUUUCAAUAAAACUUGGGAAAAUUGUAUGGGACACCCCUAGGGUUUGUAAACCCUAGGAAUUUAACUAAUUCUUUCCUAAUUAGAAUUAAUAUAUUGCCCUUUUUCAAAAUUCCAAUAGAAUUAGAAUUCUACCAUUUUUACUCUUUUUUUCUAAUUAGAUUUUCAUAUUGCCCCUUUUCAAAUCAUAAUAGAAUUUGUUCUCUAUCCUUAUAUUUAUUCUCUUUUUAUUUUAUUUCCCUUUUCUUUACACCAUAUUUUCAUCCUAAUUAUUGAUAAUUAUUUUGCUUUCCAAUCAAAUAAUCUUCCAUUCAAUCAUUCUCUUUAUCGAUUUUGUAAUUGUCGUCAAUAACAUCCCUACCAAGAAUCGAUAAGUACAUCUCAUUUUCGAUGUUUAAAUCCCGAAUUUUCAUAGUAUUUUUAUCUAACGUUAAUCUUGUGUUUGAUUAAACAAUCUUUUAUGGUUCUUACCAAAUCUUUUGCAAAUCUUUCCCAAAUAUUGAUACCAAUCGUUAAUUUUGUAUAUUUGUCGUUGAAAGACCUAAUUUAGGUGAACCGAAUCAGAUUUGAUCAUAAGGAAUGUUGACCGAACCCCCAGUGAAAGGUAUGUGUUCUUUUACAAGUGAAUCUAGACAAAACGUGUGUAGGAACAGGGUCACACGCACGGCCACCACACAACCAUGUGCCACUAUUACGUUAGGGUACUUCGACUUUCACAUGGCCAAAAACCUUCCACAUGGCCUACCACACGGCCGUGUCUCUCCUAUAGGUUAAUUUUUGCAUUUGUCAAACGAAUACAAUCUGCUACACAGCCUAGGCACACGGCUGUGUAACCCUUCCACACGGCCUAUAGCUUCUCACACGGCCAUGCCAAACGGCCGUGUAACCUCUAUUUUAUAGUUUUGCCUAGAAAUUUAUGAUAUGUUCAGUUUAGUCCCUGUAUAUUCUCUGAAUUAUUUUUAGAGUUUUAUUUUAUCAAUAUAGUCUCUAAUAUAGUGUUAUUCUAGAAUUUUUGAUUUAAUAACUAAAGUGUAAUGGUUAUAUUGUAUAAGAAGUGAAUAUUUCAUGCUACUAUUAUUGUGAAACAGAUAAAUUGUUAGUGUUAACAUUGCUACCACCCUAUUGAAUACAUGUUAAGCAUGUUUACUGUUAGUGUUGAAUUGAAUACAUGUUACGGAUGCGGCAUUCGAAGGGCUCGAAAUCAUUUUUUAUAUAAAAGUAUUUUAGGCAUAUUUUUAUAUUUCCUAUUAUUUUGGAACUGUAUUGCUUUAUUUAAACUAUGUCAUGAGACUUAAGUUAGGGUUUAUUAGUAUGCAUAAAAUUUAAUUUGAAUUUAGGAUAUUGAAUCAUGGAUUUAGAAUUAAUUAUGUAUACAAUAUUUUUUUAUUUCACUUAAUUAAAACUAGGUUGAAUUUCGAAUUUCCGCUACUAGAUUAUGAAUGAAUUGAGUAAUAAAUAAACGGGAAAUUAACUAAGUUCUCAAAGUAGUCACUGUUAUAAAGAAACUGUUAAACUUAAUCGGUUUCUAUUAACUUGUGAGUUUUUUUUAAAAUAAGUCUUCUUCUAAAAUAAACAAAUGUUUUAAAAUAGCGGUUUUAUAAACUCCGAUAGCUUACUAGAUUAUUUUGGUGGCCAAUGUAAUCUUCCGAAUUCGGACCUAACGUUUAGGUCAGAUUGAGGAGGUUACAGGCUAUAUGUCAAGUGGUACCGGCGGAUACCGUAACAAACAGCCCAUUCCCGUAAAUAAUUUCUCCCCAACCUAUUUUUGUAAUUUUUUAUUUUUAUAUUAUUUUUAUAAUAAUAAUAAAAACCCUGGUUUCAAGGAUUUGACAACUGUAGGUACAUAACUCUUGCAGCUGACAUGAACGCCAAUCUUUUCUCUAAUCAAUUUAAACCUUUAAUUAUUUCAUAAGCCGAAAAUUUUCUGCUUUAAAAUAUGUUAUAAUUUUUUUUAUUUUUUAAAAAUUAAAAAAAUUAAUUUUUUAUAUAUUAUUUUCAAAAAUUUUAUUUUUUAUAUUUUUAAUUUUAAAAAUUCAAAUUUAAUUGUUAACAUUGUUAAAAUUAUUUUGUUCAUAUUUUAAUUGCAGGACUAUCAAGUAAGUAUUUUUUUUAAUUUCAAAAUAUCAUACCAAAAAUUUUAACCAAAAUAUUUAACAACAUUAAUAAUUAAACUUAAAUUUUAAAAUCUAAAACUUACAUAAACUCAAAUCAUAUUUUAAUAAUUCUUUCGCUUCUCGAACAAAUGGUGGGGCAGUGGGGGAAUUUCGUUGAUAAGGUUAGGUAAACACAUGAUCCCAAUUGAAAGGUUAGGUAAACACAUGAUUGAUGAUAUGAAUAUAAUUUUAUACAGAUAUGUUGAUUUUAGAAAAAUAUUAAAGUAUUAUAUUUUGUACUUGUAAUAACCCAAUUUAGCUCGGGACCAAACAAACCAAAUAAAAAUAAAAAAUAACAGUCGAAAGUCCAAUUACAAAAAAAAAAAUAGAUCCCAAAUAGCUCAAAUCUAAAAACCUAAAGGCCAGUGGCCAAAACUAUUUUACAAAAAGCCAAAAACCCUAGGGUAUCUGGUGCCGCUGUCCCCUCAAGGCGCUCCACCCGAGGCCCCCUUCGUCUCCCGAGGUCUGACACCCCUACUGCCGUUGCACCAAAAUGGCAAAGGUGCACAUCCCAUCGCCUUCUGUUGACCGCGCUAAUACCUGCAAAAAAGAAUGGAAAAGGACAGAAACAAGGACAGAAGAAACGAAAGCAGAAAUAGUAAAAACAGAAGCAAGAACAGCGACAAAAUCAAAAAAAUAUGAAUUAUAAACAGUGUAUAGUGGCUAUAAAAGCCAAAGAAUAGAUUGUAUUCGAGAGGAGAUUUUUUAAGAAGAAGAAAUCAUAUACAAAUAUUAAAAAAAAGGUGAUUUACUUUUUUAUUUUUAAGAUUAAAAGCAAAUAGAAAUUAAUAAACAAUAAUAACAUCUUUACUAGCUGUUCCGUCCGGGUGCCGCUGUCGGUGUCACUUCCGAUCCACGAAGCCAUCAAAUCCCUGGGGAUUCGGCCAAGGCCGCGACGGAGGACGUCGAGAGUUGGAGGGUCUUUUUCUUUUUCAGGAGUUUUGGCCUUAUUCUGGCAAUUUCAACUCCGAAUCGGAGUUCUACGCAAAAAAGGGGUUAAAAGGGAUUUUUUUGGGUGAUUUUUCGGCCACCAAAGACGGUGGUCACUGUCACCGGUGGCCACGACGAAAAACCGCCGUUCCUUGGCCGGAUGCUGGAAUUAUUUGAGGAAAAAAAUGAAAGAAUGUUUUUUUAAAGCGGGCGAAAAUGAAUUUUUUUUCAGAAAUUUUUAAUUUUUAAAGGGCUCCAACACAACGUCAUUUUGGCCUGGCUUCAGAAGGCCCAAAACGGCGUCGUUUUGACACAACCCGAGGCCCGACCCGAGAGCUGGCAGGAUCCGCGUGUUUUCGUGGCAAAGGGGCUUAUUGCGGCCCUAGUCCUUCCGCUUUUUAAUGAUUUUCCAAUCCAGUCCUUUUCUUUUUUUAUUAUUUAAAAUUUAUGCCAUAUAAUUUUGAUUUUGUCUCAUUUUGGUCCCUCUUGGAACGGUGUGUUUGAGGGUCUGGGAAUAAUUUCCCAACUUGUCUCUGCUCCUUUUCGCGCAUCACAUUUUAGCCCCUUUAUUAUUUAUUUUAUCCCAAUUUAUCUUUUUAAUUUCAUUUAAGUUACAAUUAAGUCCUUUUUUAUUUUAAUUCUUUUAUUCAUUGAUUUACUUAUUUAUUAUUUCUUUUAUUUUAUUCAUUUAUUUACUUAUUUAUUUAUAUAUUAUUCAUCUAUUUACUUUUUAUUUUAAUUCUUUUAUUCAUUUAUUUAUUAUUCCUUCACUUUUUUAAUAUUUAAAUUUUCUUUUCUUUUCUUUUAUCGAGUAUUUAUUUAUUUUUUCUUUUUUCUUCUUUGGUGCCUUUACUAUUAUUAUUACUAUUUUAUUAUUAUCUAUUUAUCUACUUAUUUAUUACCUUUUAUUUUUUAUACGUACUUAGGAAUUAGAUUGUAUGCAUGCUUUUAUUGGUGCAUUUUUUUGUUUAUUAUUGUCAUUAUUGUCAUUAUUAUUUUUUAUUUUUUAGUGUGUUAUUGUUAUUUUAUUAUUUCUCUUAUUAUUUUUGUAACUGUCAUGUCAUGUCCAUUUAUCUUUUUAAUCAUGCAUCUUUCAUUUUUUUUUAUCUUAAAUUACUUUAUUUAUUAAUACUAUAAUAUGAUUAUAAAUAUUAAUACUAUUAUUAUAAUUAUGUUAUUAUUACUAUAGGAUUCCUUUAUUUAUUUACUAUUUAUCAUUCUACCCACAUAGCCAUUUUAAAAUUAUUUCAUUAUCACUAUGUCAUACAUUAGGUUUAAGCAUUUAUCUAUUUGUAUAUUAUGCUCGAAUAAGUUAAAUGCACAUCACUUUGGGUGUUACAUUCGUUUUUUUCGCACGAUGCAUAAAAAAAGAAAUUUUAUAAACCAAGGCAAUGUUCAUUAUUUUUGGAAUUAAAAAAGUCGUGUUCCUAACUUACGGAAUAUGACUUCUUUCUAAAACCGAAAUAGUCGAAUAUCUAUUUCAAAAAUAUAAAAAUGAGAUUUAAGUAACAAUUAAAGCAGCGAUUAUUCUGGUUUUCGUAAACUAAAAGCUUUGUGUCCAAACUCACGGGGCAUGAUCCUUCUUUUCGAUUAAUUCGGAAUAAAGUUUUUUCCAUUAAAAUAUCUUAAUACAAAGGGAUCGCAUUUUAAAUUCUCUUCAAAUUUUUAAUUUUCGACAUUAAGACAUCAAGUAAUCAAUUAGGUACCAAUUUGGGGCGUAACAAGGGUGCUAAUCCUUCCUCGUGCGUAACCGACUCCCAAACCCAUUUUCUGGAUUUUGUAGACCGAAAAACAUUGUUUUAGUAAAUCAAACCUUUUAUUAAAACAAUCAAAUUACAAGGUGACCCAAUCACACCUCCUGAAAGUGAUUGGUGGCGACUCCCAUUUUCGUUUUUAUUUAAAAUAAAAAGUCGAUUACCAAAAAAAGGGUUUCGACAUCUUAGCGACUCCGCUAGGGAUAAAAUAAGAGAGUCAAGCCGCAAGUUGAUUACUUUUGGUCUUUUUUGUCGAAAAUUGAUAAUUUGGUUUAAAUUUAUGAUCCCUUCGUUGCAUUUCAUUCUUCAUUUUUGUGGUCUUCAUCAUUUUACAUAAUGGUAUGUUUGCUUCGAGUCUCUUGGUAUAUUUCUGCAUAUUGCAUUGCAUAAUCAUUCAAUUUUACCCUUCUUAAGUGGGAGUGAGAAGCUAUUCCUUCGUGAGGUUUUCGCCUCCGUAUAGGAUAGUGGAUCGCUUUCGGGAUACAUUUGUACCUAUGUCUUCGUGAGAUCUUCAUCUCUGUAUAGCCAUAAGGAAAUGUAUUCUCCUGAACCGAACUCGGUCCGUAUGAGCCUAUAAUGGGUGAGGAUUGAGGAAUCUGUUGGUUCAGGUACCCUUACUUUGGAACCGAACCGCAUAUAAUGAGCCCUAAGAACCUACCCUAGGUAGAACCAUACUGAACCUCUAGUGGUCACCCGAAUAGGUGUUCUAUUUAUUAUUUCUUGUUUUGUAUUCUAGUUUUAUAUGAAAUGUACUGACUUGUUUCGUUUUGGUUGUGAUUGCAUUGUAUUUUCAUCAUAGAAAAUGGUGUUAAUUCAUGUUCAGUUGCUAAAUAGAGAGUUUGUCAUAGAAAAAUGAUUUCUUGAUAAAAUGAAAGAUAAUAUGGCUGUCCAGAUAUGGUAUGAGAAGACACAACAGGAGAAGGGCAACAGCCUGACGGAGAGGUGCAUGUCAGAGGAUUUCACACGCAUAAGUGUGACUCAGAAUAAUUUCCAAGAAUUAAAAGAGGUAUGGGACCAAUGGAAUGAUGAAACCAAACAGUUAUUCUAUUGUAACUAAGGUAAUUUGCCCUAUUUACUCGAUGUCAAAGUGGAUAAGCACUUAUUCCGAGCUAUUGCCCAAUAUUGGAAUCCCGCCUAUAGCUGAUUUACUUUUGGGAAGGUAGAUUUGGUCCCCAACUCUUCUACGGUGGAAGGUAGAAGACAAAACUUAUUCUAGAGCCGCCAGCAUCUCGACUUUCUUAAAAAAAGCUAAUGAGUAUAACUAGGAUGAGCGAGCAAUAAGUCACAGCCCGAAUGAAACAAAAGGGAGAUAGCAAAUGCGUCCCUUAAAAAAGUUUACAAUAUUUGAUCUUGGCAUAUCUGGAUAAGAAGAAAAGAGUCGACCUCUUCACCUUGAGUAUUUACGGGUUCGUCAUCUUCUCCAAAGCCCUAGGGCAUAUCGAUGAGGCAGUUUUAAAUCUAUUUGACCAACUUGACAAAAGGGUCACACCCGUCCUAAUAAUUUUGGCUGAAAUUUUUAAAUCUUUGAGUGCAUAUCAGAGAGUGGGUGAAGGAAGAUUUAUCGGGUGUGCCCAACUCUUGUUAGCAUGGUUACAUAGCCACUUUUGGAAGGUAGAAAAGGUCUCUUAUCGAGUAUUCUCUGAGAACUAUCCUUUGUUGAAAGAGUUCGUGGCUACCUCAAGGCGAGACAACAUUUCUGAAGAAAAAUGGAUUACGAUUCUCCAGAAUCUCCAGGACGAAGACGUUGAAUAGAAGGCCCCUUGGAUGAUCACUGAAGAGAUUUUGUAUAGAUGUGGAGACUUCGACUAGGUUCCUCUACUUGGGAUAUGGGGAGCUAUUGGAUAUGCCCCUCUACUUGUAUUGAGGCAGUAUAGGUCGAGACAAUUUAUACCUCCAACGCAAAGGUUGGCUCAGUGUGAGUUUCCGUACAAGGUUGAUAAUUACAAGAAGAAGGUUCGUGAAAUAUCAAACGCUUAGAACCAAACUCACAAAAUGAAAAGAUUUACCGUAAAUCUCAUGACGACCCCCGAAUAUGAUUGGUGGUGGGGUAAAAGAGUCAAUGACAAUGUCCCCAUGUCAAGUCAAGAAAACACUCAGCCAAUAGAAGAACACCUACAAGUGAUCUCGUCUGAGCUAGAGGUCAUAAAACAAGACUUUGAAAAGAGGAGUUUGGAGCUAAGAAAAAAGUUAGAAUAGUUGGAAGAGGAAAAGAUGCGGCUAGGCUUAGACGUCAACGUCCAAAAGUUAGAAACUGAUAAAAUGAGAAAAGAAAAGAAUGAGGCUAAGGAAGACUUAGACGGCUUAAAAACAGAUUAUAAGAAACUACGUUUGUCGAUGAAGACUACCAGAUUGGGUAAGACAUCAAAACAAUGGCGGCAAGAAAUCAAAGAAGAAAAUAUUAAAGUUGAUCAAUAGGAAAAGAAAUUCCAAGAUACUUGAGUUCGAGAAGAUGCUCUAGAAAGGGAUUUGUUAGAAAGCCAAAAUGAAAAGGUUGGAUUGAAAGCCCGGGUAACAGAAUUAGAAAGGUCAUUACAUCAAUAUCGUAGUCCCAACUCCGCAUUUGAGUUGAAAGCAAGCCUAAAUAAGAUCGAAGAGUUGAAGGGAAAGAUAGAAUAGCUCGAGACCGCACUGUAAAAUUGUAAACUUCGAGUUGAACUUCUUGAAACGAACAUCGAACACUGGAAAGACCAACUCUAACACUCUCAAGGUCAGAUUAGGGAUAAAGAUCACAUCAUUGGUGAAGCUGUGACACAAGUACGAAAAGUAGCCUAUCAUUUGCAAACCCUAGCUGUUCAAGCCAAUAUACUAAGCUUAAAGUACGCAUUAGAAUCAGAUUGGGGCUAAGAAUUAGCUUAGCUUCUUAGGAAAGUCAAGGCUUUGAGUAUUAGGGCAAUGCCGUAUAUGUAAAAUAUUCAUUUUAUGUAAAGAGAUCUGAUUUCUAGUAAAGUUGUUCUAAUAGAAUUAAAUCAGAAUCAAUGCCUCUUUUUGUAUUCAUUUUAUUUAUCAGCAUUACAUUUUAUCAUAUGCAUUAAACUUCAUAAAAAGAACCUAAUUAAUCGAAAUUAUGAUAGUUACCCUGAAAACCAACAAGAAUCUACCAACUAACUAUCGUUGUGGUACUCGCGGUAAAACCAAAGCAAUGGAUCAAAUAUUAGAGAGAUUAGAACAAAUUCAGAAAGACAUGCAAGAUCAGUUGUAAGCGUAGCUACAGGAACAAUUAGGUAAAGUACAGUAAGACAUGAGGGAUCAAAUACAAGAGUUCCAACGAAGCAUGAUAAGCCAGUUGACCCAAUUGCUAGCCUAGGGGAUUGAAAAAGGGAAAAGUAUUGUGGUUAACUCUGGGGAUGAUAAUGAAGACCCUACAUUCCCUCAAGCUUUACCUCGGUGGAUGUCUAAGCCCAACCAGACACAUAUCCACGAAGGGUACCCGUUACCAUAAGACCUCAACAAUAUCAAGCAGGCACCUCAGCAUUGGUGAACUACCUAACCGGUUUACGGAUAACCCGACUAACCCAGUUGUUCUCAAUUUGGAUGACAUGGCGGAAAUGAAUAAAGCAAGAGUAAAAUUAUCGAAACAGCUAGAAGAUUGGUGCAAGUGGUUGAAGGAGAAAUUCAGAGCUAUGGAGAAUGUUGAUUACCUUUGCAGGGUCGAUGUUAAAGAACUGAGUUUAGUCCCAAAUCUAGUACUCUCACCAAAAUUCAAGACUCUAGAAUUCAAAAAUUAUAAUGGGACUAGUUGUCCUGAAGCCCAUAUCAUAAUGUUCUACCGAAGAAUGAGGGAUACAUCAAUAACGACCAAUUAUUAAUCCACUACUUCCAGGAUAGUCUGAUAGGGUCAGCUGCCAAGUUGUAUAACCAACUAAGCCAUGUCAAAAUCAACUCAUGAAAAGACUUGGCACAAGCUUUCAUGAAACAAUACAGCCAUAUGACUAACAUGACACCCAACAGAAUUACACUGUAAAACAUGGAGAAGAAGUAAAGUGAAAGCUUUAAGCAGUAUGCUAAGAGAUGGAGAGAGGUGGCAACACAAGUCCAACCACCUUUUCUGGAGAAUGAGACAACAAUGCUUUUCAUAAACACGCUGAAAGCUCCAUUCAUUAACUAUAUGUUGGAAAGUGCUACUAAGAGCUUCUAAGAUUUAGUAAUGUUCAGAGAAAUUAUUGAAAAUGCAAUAAGGAGUGGGAAAAUAGACACAGGGGAAAACACCAAAAGAUCAGCCCCAAGAAAAAAAGAAAAUGAAGUGAACACCACGAGUUUUUAUAACAAGAACUAUUCAAAAUCGGUCACUAUGGGCCAACCAAGGACCGUAACAACCAACUAUCAAGGCCCCUCAAGGCAAGAAUCUAACUCAAGGCCAAACACAGAAAAACUCUAAUUCACACUCAUUCUGAUAACAUACAGAGAAUAAUAUUAGAAUUUGUUCGACGCGCAUAUGGUAUCUCCGUUUUACUUAAAACUCAUGCAACCUCCGUUCCCAAAAUAGUAUGAUGCAAAUGCUCAAUGCGAGUACCACACAGGAAUAACUGGACACUCAAUUGAGAACUGCACUUCAUUUAAAAAAUUGAUUGAAAAGUUUAUCAAUAUAGGGAUAGUAAGGUUCGAUAAUCCAUCGGGACCUAAUGUGGCAAGAAAUAUAUUACCCAGUCAUUCAGAUCAAGGGGUAAACGCGAUAAUUGAGAGUGAAUGAAAGAGGACCAAAACGAUGUGGCGGAAGUAAAAACCCCACUAAAGUAAGUUUGGCUAAAGAUGAUAGACGUAGGAUUAAUCAUUCAAGAUUCAGAAGAAGCACCUAAAGGGAUGAGGAGCUACUGUGAGUUCCAUGCUGGAGAAGGUCAUGAGAUCUAGAAGUCCACUAAAUUCAGAGUUGUGGUGCAAAGUUUGAUAGAUAACAAGGAGUUGGAAUUCUUUGAAGGCGUCAAAGGCUCAAAAUGAGGGGAUAUUUGCGCCUCAGAGGAAAGAUCAACGAAGAAGGUCUACAAGGUCAACCACCUGGUGGUGAUUAUUUCACGGUCAAGAAAUAAUGAAGCAGGAACACAAACUGCUCCGAGAGUCAUAAUUCAAAAACUCAUGGCUUUUCCUUAUAAGGAUAGCAAAAGUGUUCCAUGAAAUUAUGACUACAACGUAAUGAUCCCAGGAGAUGAGAAUUCAGUUAACACUUCAGAAGAGAGCCAAGAUAUUAGUUUCUUCACGCACAAUGGAAGGCGCUAUGACCCUGCAAGUCAAGAACCGAACCCAUUAAAGGAAAAACCCUGGCAGCUAAACAUAAGAAAGAAAAAACGGCUAGAAUGGAAUCCCCUAUUAACAAGCCAGUAACUGAGAACGAGGCUAAGAAAUUCUUGAAAUUCUUGAAACAUAGCGAGUAUAAUAUUGUAGAAUAGCUACACAAACAAUCAGCUCGCAUAUCGGUGCUACACUUUCUCUUGAGCUUAGAGACACAUCGUAGCACGUUGAUGAAUGUGUUAAAAGAAACUUAUGUCACUGAUGAUAUCUCUAUAAACAAGCUAGACCAUCUAAUUAACAAUCUGAAUGUCGAUAAUUUCAUAUUUUUCAAUGACAAUGAAAUACCUCCAAGGGGUAUGAGAUCCACAAAGGCUCUACAAAUCACUACCCGCUGCAAAUGAUAUACGUUGUCAGGGGUGUUAAACGAUAAUGGAUCUGCACUGAAAGUCUUACCUUUAUCCACACUGAAUAGAUUGCCAGUGGAUAGCUCUCAAAUGAAGACGUGCUAAAAUAUAGUGAGAGCAUUCGAUUGUACGGAAAAGAGGAUAAUGGGAAGGAUUGAAAUACCUCUCUUAAUUAGUCCGAACACAUACGAGGUAGACUUUUUGGUGAUGGAUAUCAAGCCCUCUUAUAAUUCAUUGUUGGGUAGGCCUACAGUUGACGGUUGGAAAAGGAGCCUUACCUAAAAGAGGACUCAACAAAUACCUUCAAGGGAAAGUUGAGGCACCAAUGCUAAUGGACAAACGAGACCAAUUUGGCUUAAGAUACAAGCCAAGUGCGAGACAAAAGAAGAAAGAGCUAGAGAAGAAACAAGGAAUAAGAAGAGUGCGACUGAGUGGGGGAGAAGUUAAAUGGGAACCGAAGACCUUUCCCCAUAUAUCCAAAAUAUUCGUGCCAGGAGAAACCAUUUAUCCUGAAUGAAGAAUGUAAAAAAACCCAGAAGGAAUAUUGGGAAACUUGAGCAUCAAUGAUAUAUCAGAAGAAGGAAUUGGGGAGAACCUAUCAGGCAUUUGUCCUUAUAUCCCCUAAAGUUUUUUGAACAAUUAGACUGUGGAAGAGAUCCCUGUAAGUUGUAGAACUAAUUCAGAGUAAUGUUUAAAACACAUUUAUUGCUCUAAGCCUAGGAGCAAAAAGAAUCUUUUUUGUCAAAAAGGCAUAUGUCCAUUAUUUUUAUUUCAAUAAAAUACAUCAUUAUGUCUCAUUUUGGGCAAAUAUUCUUUUAUUUUUUUCAUUUCAUUCAUACUCAUACCACACAGAUAAUUAUUCUUAGAUUCAUUUAUUCUUUGGAUCUUCCUUCACUUCUAUAACAGGUCUCCAGAUAUCAAUGAUAUGAGCAACACUACUACUGACUCAGAAUCUCCUUUUGAGGAAAAUAUUUGUCUAGAGGAACCUCAAGACUUUGAAGAUGAUCGAGAUUGUAACCUAUCUCCUGAUUUGUUAAGGAUGGUAGAACAAGAUGAGAAACAAAUUCUACCUUACAAAGAGUCAGUAGAAAUUGUGAGCUUAGGAGACAAACAAGAAAAGAAAGAGGUGAAGAUCGGAGCUUGCAUCACCGCAGAAACAAAGCGAGAUUUCAUUGAGUUACUCCAAGAAUUCAAAGAUAUUUUUGCAUAGUCGUAUCAAGACAUGCCUAGUCGAAGUACUGAUAUCGUGGUACAUCGGCUUCCCAUAAUAUAAGAAUGUAAGCUAGUUCAAUAGAAACUCCGAAGGAUGAGGCCCAACGUCCUGUUAAAAAUAAAAGAAGAGGUUAAGAAGCAAUUCGACGGGGGUUUCCUACAAGUGGUUAAAUACUAAGAGUGGGUAGCCAAUAUAGUCCCCGUCCCUAAGAAAGAUGGGAAAGUACAAAUGAGUGUGGAGGACAGGGAUUUAAACAAAGCCAGCUCGAAGGACAAUUUUUCAUUGCCUCACAUCAACACCUUAGUGGAUAAUACGGCAUGUUAUUCACUAUUUUCUUUCAUGAAUGGCUUCUCUGAUUACAACCAGAUAAAGAUGCAUCCUGAAGAUAGGGAAAAGACCACAUUUGUAACCAUGUAGGGGACAUUUUGCUAUAAAGUGAGGCCAUUCGGACUAAAAAAUGCAAGAACGACGUAUCAAAGAGCCAUGGUAACUUUGUUUCAUGAUAUGAUGCCAAAAAAAUCGAGGUUUAUGUAAAUAAUAUGAUUGUAAAAUCUCGAACAGAAUAGAAGCAUGUGCAAGUCUUAAGGAAACUGUUCUUGAGGUUGAAAAAAUUCCAAUUAAAGCUCAAUCCAACAAAAUAUACCUUCGGGGCUAGGUCAAGAAAAUUGUUAGGAUUCGUAGUCAGCGAAAAGGGGAUCGAGAUUGACCCAGACAAAGUCAAGGCUAUACAGGAGUUCGAGAUUUCUUAAUAAGUUCAAGGUUUCCUAGGAAGACUAAAUUACAUCGCCCAGUUUAUUUCCCAACUAACGAAGAAAUGUGCCCCCAUAUUUCGUCUCCUUAAGAAACAUAAUCCAGGUAUAUGGGAAGAGAAAUGGCAGAAGACUUUUGACAAGGUCAAACAUUACCUGUCCAAUGCCCUAGUGUUGAUGCCACAUAGCCCAGAUAAGCCGCUGAUAUUGUACUUGGCAGUAUUUGGAAAUUCUAUAGGAUACGUGCUUGGCCAGUAUGAUGAGUCAGGGAGAAAAGAAAAAGCGAUACAUUACCUCAGUAAGAAGUUUAGUAAAUGUGAGACAAGGUACUCGCCAAUUGAAAAGUUGUGUUACGCAUUAAUCUGGCUAACCCGGAGACUGAUUGUACCAUACAACUUGGUUAAUCUAAAAAAUAAACCCUCUAUAAUACAUGAUGGAGUCGACUACUCCGAAUGGAAAAAUAGCCCAAUGGAUAAUUUUGCUUUCUAAAUUUGAUAUAAUCUAUGUGAACCAGAAGGCAGUAAAAUAGAGCGCAAUAGCAGAUUUUCUAACCAGUAAAGCUCUAGAAAAUUACGAGCUUUUAAAUUUUGAUUUUCUAAAUAAAGAUCUAAUGUAUGUCGCGACUACUGAAGAAGGUGCUCAAAAAGAACAUCUCUAUAAACUAAAUUUUGAUGAGGCUUCAAACGCUAUGGGUAAUGGAAUCGGGGCAGUCCUGAUAUCCCUAAAUGGAUAUCAUUAUCCUUUUACUAGUAAAUUAGAUUUUGAUUACACAAACAAUAUGGCAGAAUACGAAGCAUGCAUCAUGGGUAUCCGUGCAGCCAUAGAACACCAGAUCAAAGUACUGAAGGUAUAUGGGGAUUCUGCGCUAGUGAUCUAUUAACUCAAAGGAGAAUAGGAGACGAGAGACCCCAAGUUGACCAAUUAUCGAAGGCUGGUUCUUGAGUUAAUUAAGGAGUUUGAUGACAUCACCUUUUGCUACCUCCCGCGAGAUAAAAAUAAGAUGGCUGACGCCCUGGCUACUUUAGCUUCCAUGAUCAAAGUGAACAAACAAGAAGGUGUAAAACCUAUCCAGAUGAGUAUUUAUGAUGCUCUGGAUCAUUGUUACAACAUCGAGGAAAAAGAAAAAAAUGAUCACCCUUAGUACCACGAUAUACUGCGGUAUGUGAAUAACCGUGAAUACCCAAAACAAGUAACCGAGAAUGAUAAAAGGACACUACGGAGAUUGGCCAAUGACUAUGUCUUAGAUGGGGAGAUCCUAUAUAAGAGAAGAAAGGAUCAAGCGCUAUUAAGAUGUGUGGACGCUAUUGAGGCUAAAAAAAUCUUGGAAGAAGCCCAUAAGGGUAUUUACGGAGCACAUGCUAAUUGUUUUACAAUGGCCAGGUAAAUCAUGAGAUUCAGGUAUUAUUGGUCCACCAUGGAAGGGGAUUGUAUCAGUUAUGCCAAAAGAUGUCAUAAAUGCUAAAUUUAUGGAGACAAAACUCAUGUGCCUCCUUCACCUAUUCAUGUUAUGACCUCUCCAUGGCCUUUCUCUAUGUGGGGCAUAGAUGUCAUUGGGCCGAUUUUACCAAAAGCUUCUAACAAGCAUCAAUUCAUCUUUAUGGUCAUCGACUACUUCACCAAGUGGGUAGAGGCCACUUCUUACGCCAAUGUCAUGAAGUUGGCAGUCAGUAAAUUCUUAAAGAAAGAGAUCAUAUGUCGAUUUGGAAUGCCAAAAAGGAUCAUAUCUAACAAUGCAUUGAAUUUGAACAACAGCACGAUAUCGAAAGUCUGCAGUCAAUUCAAGAUCAAACACCACAACUCGUCACCAUAUCGCCCAAAAAUGAAUGGUGCAGUGGAGGCAGCCAAUAAAAACAUUAAGAAGAUCGUGGUGAAAAUGACCGAGACUUAUAAAGAUUGGCAUAAGAAGUUACCAUUUGCCCUCUAUGCUUAUCGAACAUCUGUCAGGACCUCUACUAAGGCAACAUCUUUCUCAUUGGUUUAUGGAAUGGAAUUGGUUUUGUCCAUUGAAGUCUAAAUUCCUUCUUUCUGAGUUUUUUCAGAGUUAAAGUUGGAUGAAGCAGAAUAGAUCCAAUCUCGAUAUGAUUAGCUGAAAUUGGUUGAAAAAGAUGGUUGAAAGCUAUCCGUCAUGGUCAGAUGUACCAAAAACGAAUUAUGCGAACUUAUGACAAAAAGGUCCACCCCAGGGAAUUCCAUGAGAGAGAGCUAGUAUUGAAAAAGAUCCUGCCUAUGCAAAAGAACUUCAGAGGGAAAUAUAUGUCAAAUUAGGAAGGACCUUAUGUGGUAAAGAAGGCCUUUUUUUGGAUGAGCGUUGAUUCUAACAGAGAUGGAUGGCAAAUCCCUGCCUAAUCCAGUGAAUUCAGAUUCAGUCAAGAAAUACUUCACCUAAAAAACAAAGAGGAGAGGCCAAGGUGAAAACCCGCAAAGGGCACUUUGAGACCAAAGAGGUUCUGAGUUGAAAACCUAGGAAAGGGCAGCUCAGAUUUAGAUCGAAGAUUGAACAUGUGGUAGCCGCGUCCUCUUAAAAAAAUAAACGUUGCAUCUAGGGGCAUCAACAAAAUACUCUAGAUCUCUUAGACACAUAUCAAGCUCAAAAUAGUCUCAAGAAGUUCGUACAGAGAAGUUCAUGCUACGAUAUUUGGGGCACCUAUUUUCAUCUUACUCAUUUUUGUAUUUUAGCAACGUUUGCUAUUUUGAUUAAUUUAUUUCAUUUCUAGCUUUGCUCCUAAUAAAUUUCAAUCUUGUCCAUUGUUACGAUCUAUUUCAAGCAUUUUUCAUUGAAAUAACGAUUAAUGGACUAAUAAUAUUCAAGUAAAAGGAUUUCUACAUAUUGCCCUGGAAAGUUUCUAAAUAGUACAAGAACUUGAAACAAGACCACUAGUUAGAACUAACCAAAUCUAAGGGUUGGAAGCAUCGGGGAACAUAUUGUUUAAAUUAUGAUUAAUUAUUCAAAUUUUUUGUCAAAGAUAUCAGAUUUGAACAAUGUCAGUGAUGGAACCUUGACGAACAAUAAGCCAUGUCAACCUAAGUACUAAAAUGGGGAUCAUUCUCAAAAGAUGGCAUUCUGUAUUUACGCAAAUAUCAUUCAUAUACAUCUAGUUAGGAGCAUUUGAUUCAUUUUGAUCAUAACAUCCUAAUCGCUUGGCAUAUCAGUGAAACCACAAAUCCUAUACCCUUAAAGUUGUAGUGGGUCGGGUUGAAGUCACCAUAGUAAAUCUUAUCUCCCUGAAGUUGCAGUGGAGCAGAUUGAACUUACCAUGGCGAAUCUUAUCUCUCUGAAGUUGUAAUGGAGCAAAUUAAAGCUACAAAUCUUAUCUCCCUGAAAUUGCAGUGGAGCAGAUUAAAGCUAUAAAUCUUAUCUCCCUGAAGAUGCAGUGGGUUAGGAUGAGGCUACAUGAAAAAGAGAAACACCAAAAAAGUCAAGAUUCGUUAAGGCCAGGCAAAAUUUGCCCUUUUUAAAGUUUUUGCUCCAUUCUCGUUACACGUCAACGAACAAAGAGGGGCAGUUGUAAUAGGCCGAUUUAGCCCGAGCCCAAACCAAAUAAAAAUAAAAAAUAACAGUCUAAAUUCCAAUUACAAAACAACAACAAAAAUAGCCAAAUAGCCCAAAUAUAAAAACCUAAAAGCCCAGUGGCCCAAACUAUUUUACAGAAAGCCAGAAACCCUAGAGUUUCUAGCGCUGCUCUCCCCUCGAAGGCGGACCACCCGAGGCCUUCCUUCGUUGCCCGAGGUUUGACGCCCCUACCGCCGUUGCACUAAAAUAGCAAAGGUACACACCCCAUCGCCUUCCGUUGACCGCACUAAUACCUGUAAAAAAGAAUAGAAAAUGACAGAAACAAGGACAGAAUAAACGAAAGUAGAAACAUAAGCUAGAACAAUGACAAAAUAAAAAAAUGCAAUAUAAACAGUGUAUAAUAGCUAUAAAGGCCAAAGAAUAGAUUGUAUUCGAGAGGAGAUUUUUUAAGGAGAAGAAAUCAGAUAUGAAUAUUAAAAAAAGGUGAUUCACUUUUUUUUUAAGAUUUAAAGCAAGUAGAAAAUAAUAAAUAAUAAUAUCUUUAUCUGUUGUUCCAUUUGGGCACCGCUGUUGAUGUCACCUUCGGUUCGCAAGGUCGUCGAUUCCCUGGGGAUUCAGCCAAGGCCGCGACGGAGGACGUCGAGAGUUGGAGGGUUUUUUUCUUUUUUCUAGAGUUUUGGCCUUAGUCUAGCGAUUUCAACACCAAAUCAGAGUUCCACGUAGAAAUGGGGUUAAAAGGGAUUUUUUGGAUGAUUUUUUGGCCACUAAAGACGGUGGUCACCGUCACAGGCGACCGGUGGCCACGACGGAAGACCGUCGUUCCUUGGCCAAAUGCUGGAAUUAUUUGAGAGGAAAAAAUGAAAGAAUGUUUUUUAAAGCGCGGCGAAAAUGAAUUAUUUUUCAGAAAUUUUUAAUUUUUAUAGGGCUCCCACACUACGUCGUUUUGGCCUGGCUUCAGAAAGCCCAAAACGGCGUCGUUUUGAUGCAAUCCGAGACCCGACCCGUGUGGCUCAAAUUACAUGCCCGUGUGGCCUAGACACAUGCCCGUGUGGCUCAAAUUUGAUGAAUAGUAAAUUACACGACCAACCACACGGCCUGGCACACGGUCGUGUGGCGUCGACAACCACAUUUUUCGUUGUUCAAAAUUCGCAAAGUUAAGGGUUUUCGGUAUGCAUCUGAAUUGAUUUCAAAGCAGUAACAAUAUAGAGCGCUUCCAAAGCCUAAAACAACCACUCAAUCAACUCACUUUAACAACAAUAACAUAAACAAUAACAUACAAUUAUAAGCAGAAUACUGGUGUUGAAAGUUUCGACACAAAACCUUCAACGAAAUCCACACUUACCAAAAGAUCAACAACGAUUGUUCGAAUUGGCGUUUUGAGGUUUGCUACUUUCGAUAUCCCUGGCUAAGAGGGAAACCAACCGACCGAUUAUUAGAAAAAUCACUCGACAAACACGGAAUACCCAAUUAAAAUUGUACCACGAAGUAUAAGAAGAAACUGCGAAUUCAAUCGCAUUUAACAAGGAAACUUACUUAAUAGUCUUUCAAUCGACACAACUAAAAAUCUAACUUCAAUUAACCCCAUAUUCCUUACGGCAGUGAUCAAAAAUAAAGGACAAGGAAGAAGAACCGAAAGAAGAAGAAGAAGGAGAAAGAGAAAGAAAGAAGAAGAAAAAACAUAAGAAAUAGAAGGAAAACAAUACAAAAGAAGAACUAACGUUAAUUAUGACUUAACUUCCACUCAGAUUCCUGGCAUUUAGCAAAAAUGUUCCCUACCGCAUACUCCGAGACUCAAACACAAGACCAAAUAAAAUACAAAAGCUUUACCAGUAAACCAACAGGCGCAUUCUUGACAUAAGUUUACACACAAUUAAACUUAAAUGUGACAUUCAAGGAUAGAAGCUAUCUUAAAUGAAAAUAACAAAAUUCCUAAAGAUGUAACUUGAACUCUUAACCCCAAUCACAUAAACAGAGCACAGAAUCAUAGAUACAAAGACUCAAUUACAACAAAAUCUAACAGUCAAACAUUAAAAUUUUUGGGGCGUUACAGUGCAUAAAUCAAUGACUUUGAUGGUUUAGUCUCAUAUAUCGGUGGUUUCUUUGGAGUCUCAUAAAUGGUGGUUUGGGUUUUGAAUUUUCGUUCUUUGGAGGUGUAUAAAUUGAUCAUUUAGGCUUAAGCUUCUCUUUUUUUGGUGGCUUAUAUAUUGAUGAUUGGGAUUCAGACUUCUUUUUCUUAUAUAUAAAUAUGAAGAAUGAUUAAAUUUUAGUUUUGGUCCCAUUAAUAUGUCAAAAGUUGAGUUUAGUUUCUAACAUAAUUUGGUCUCUAAAUUUUUAUAAUGCUAUUAAUUAGUCUUAAAAAUUAACACAAUUUUAUCUUUUUUUUUAAAGUUCGCAGUCACUUUUUAGACAUUAUAAAACAAUGGUCAAAAUUUUAACCCUUAGGCUAUACUAAAACUUGAGAUUGAAUCUAUACUUUAAUUUUUGACAUAAUUUGACUCCUCUACUUUUAUAAUGUCAUUAGUUAGUCUAGUUAGUUAAUAUCGUUAAUUCUUUCAAUAUAAAUCUUGACCUCAAUUCUUCUUAAGAACAUUCUUUCAAUAAAAAAAUUUAUUUUAACAUGACGAUUUCAAAUGUGCGUUUUUAAAAUAUAUAUAAUUAAUAUUUUUAAUAUUUUUAUGUUACAUAAUAUCAAGUGAUUUUUUUGAAAAUUUUAAAAUGUUACUCCGGACAAUUUAAUAGAAGAAUUAUAACGGUGGUAACAACUAAACUUAAAUUUUUAUAUCGGAAAAGUAGAGGACUAUAUUCUUAAAAAUAAAAAGAGGAAAACUAAAUUCUAAAUAUAUGAAGCAUAUAAGAAUUUAGAGCAUAUUUUAAUCUUUAAAUUUUUAUUCUAUAAUUUAACUCAAAUAAAUAAACAACGAAGCAUGGACAGACAACUAUACUAAUAAUUAAUUAGCAUAUAUUUAUAAAAUUUUAUUCACUACCAUAAUAGAAUUCUGAAGACUUCUAACUGUUUUAAAAGUGGGUAGUGAAUGAGAACAUAGUUAGACAUUUUCAUAAUUAUUGGACUUGGUGUAACUAAUUAUGAGGAAAAAUGAGGUCUCAACAUAAUUCAAAUAAAACAACUUCAACAGUUUUCACCAACCAAAUCUCCAUGCACCAAAAAAACUACAAAAUCUCUUUUGACGUGUCGGUUCUAAUUAUAAAAUUAGUCAAUUUUAGUCUUAGUACUUUUUAAAAUUAGUUUUGUAUUAUGUGUACAGUUGUAGAUUUGGUCCAUAUUCUUUAAUUGGAUCAUUCUAAGUCUCUUUACUUUUCAAAUUUUGAAAUUUCAGUCUCGAUAGAAAUAACAGGUGUUGAUUCAUUAACUGAAUUUUUAGUGAGUAAUAAACAGAAAUAACUAGCUGACAUGACAUUACACAUAUAAUAAUAUGUUUGGAACAUCAAAUUUUUAAAAUAACAAAACUUAAUAAAUUUAACAAUUAUCAUUUGAUGAUGACAAAAAUUUUAAUUAAAUUCACACCUUCCACAAAAUUUAACUUUUUGGAAACAAUAACAAAACAAAAAAGACACAGUGCAGGAAAUUCAAAAGAAAAGGCUAAUUAUUUCAAAGAUUUGAUAUUAACCGAAUUAACCGACCCUUUUAAACCCUUAAUCGUUAACCGAACGAAAUUUUUAAAAAAAAAUUUAACCUAACCAAACUUUUUCGAUUAAUUUGGUCGGUUAACCGAAUUAACUGAAAUUUAUAUAUUUUUUUUAUUUUUGGUUAAAACAAGUAUAAAACAUAUAAAAAAAAUUAACCAAAUUAACCGACCGAUUAAUUUAUACUUCCAAAAAAUUAACCGAACCGACCGACCCCCGAUCGAAUACUUAUGUAUUAUAAUAUUAUUUAUUAAGUUCGGUUAAUUCGAUUAACUGACUGAUUUCGAACCGAAUUAACCAUUAACCGAACUUCCAAAAAUUUAUUAACCGACCGAUUAACCAAAUUCGAUCGGUUAACCAAAUUAAUCCGAUUUUAUCCGAAAUUUGCAUACCUCUAGCUGCAGGUGACUCUGACUCCCAUUUUAAACCUCUAAAUAUUUAAUAAGCUGGAAUUUUUCAGCAUAUUCUCAAACAGAAUGGUGGGGUUGUGGGGGGACCUUGCAUGGCAUACCUUUGAAGACAAUUUCAUAGCCUUGGUAAGAUUUGAAAAUUUGCCACAUAAUAUUAAUAUAAUUAUUAAUGAAGUUUUGGUAGUAAUGAAAAAAGUUGAGAUCCUACAGUUUUGAUGUCGUAAGUUUGAAUAUCAUUCUUCGUAAAUCAUGUUGAAUUGUCUUUAUAUUUAUUUUGAAUUAAAAUUCACACAUCUCAUUAUAAAUAAUAUGAUUACAUUAAUUAAUAAUUUUUUAAAUUUUGGUGAAUUACAAGUAGAGAGCAAAGCCUUAACAGCAAUACGACUAGCACAACUCGAACCCAAAUCACACUUGAAGUGAUGAAUAUCUUAAUUAUCAGGCCAACAGAUGAGUUUAAUUUUUAACCUAUUUUAAGCCUUCAUUUAAUCCCUCACACAGCAUGUACUAAAUAUGAAUAUUUUAAAAUUCUUUAAUUUUUUUUUUUUUACUUAUUUGAAGGAUCCUUAGAGUAACAUAUUUGGUAUUUAAGUAAGAUAGGAAUGGGAUACCUUUGAUAAAUCAUUACUAUUUUUGUUAUCUUAGACCAAAAAUCUGUCCUGCACCAUUUCUCGAUGCAUAUAGAGUGGAACAUAUAUAACAAAAGUUGAGAUGGUCUGGAGCUAUUUUGGAUGACCAAAAAAGACAUGCAAAUGCAUGAGAGUACAAGAAAAAAAUAUCUAUGAUAUGAUGCAUGACAAAUAGAAUAUAUGUUGAAACCAUGAUAUUCUCAUUGAGAAACAAGAAGAUACAGAAUAGGCAUUCAUUCCAAUGAUACUGCCAUGUGCAUUCUUGCUAGUAAAAGAAAACAAUACUACAUGACAUACAAGAAAACAGAACAUGAGCCGGCAGCAGCUCUUAUUGCAGUGAUAAUAAUUUAUCUAUGUAGCCAUAGUAGCUCAGUUGUCGGGAAUGGUUAGCCGAGGAAAUCUCUCUAUUGAGGCUUCUCCAAUGGAGGGUGUCCUGGAUAGUGACCAUAUGGUGGCUUCUUGGGAGACUCAUAUACUGGUGGUUUAGGUUCUGGCUUCUCUUUCUUUGGUGGUGCAUAAACCGGUGGCUUUGGUGGCUUAGGCUCAUACACUGGUGGCUUCUUUGGAGGCUUAUAAACUGGUGGUUUGAGUUCUGGUUUUUCUUUCUUUGGAGGUGCAUAAACUGGUGGUUUAGGCUCAGGUUUUUCCUUCUUUGGUGGUUCAUACACCGGUGGCUUGUGUUCAUGCUUUUCUUUCUUUGGUGGUGUAUAAACCGGUGGUUUAGGCUCAGGCUUUUCCUUCUUUGGAGGUUCAUAUACUGGUGGUUUCGGUUCAGGCUUCUCUUUCUUUGGAGGUGUAUAAACUGGUGGCUUAGGUUCAGGCUUCUCCUUCUUUGGUGGUUCAUAAACCGGAGGUUUAUGUUCAUAUGGUGGCGGUUUCAGCUUAGGAGGAUUAUGAACAGGAGCAGGGGGCUUCCCAUAGUUGGGAGACUCGUAGGUACCAAAAGAGGGAGUGGCGAGAGCCACCACUCCAAGUAGCAAUAUUAGCAAAUGGGUAGUAGCCAUC